AAGCCAACUUCAAAUUUAUUUAUUAGACUAAAUUAUGAAAACGGGUCAGAAACAAAUUUGAAAAUGGAUUGAUUAACUAAACAAAAUGCUACUAAUAGAGAGAUGAAACCUUGGAUAUGGAACUAUUCUCAUUCCUCUUCAAAGAUAUUACUCAAUGGCACCAAAAAUUCAACCUUUUCUUAAUCAAACACAAUAAAAUCAAUGCAAAAUCAAAAUUGAAACAAAAUGGAAUCUUGGGUCUGGAAAUUUUCUCAUUUUUUUCAUAAUUAUCACUUAGAUACACCAAAAAAAUCCAAUCUUUUUCCGUCAAACACAAACUAAAACCAAUGCAAGAAGUAGAAAAAAAAAAAGACAAAAUUAUAGUAAAUAAAGAAAGUAGCUGAACCUGAGAAGAGAUGGACAUUGAAUAGGUAUUAUGAAAUGGGGUUUCGAAUUUUGCCAGCUUCCCCUUAUGGAGUUUGCAGAACAGGGCAAGCAGGCACUGGUUUUUGCCGCUUUGUAUAGUUCAUUCUCUGAACUUGUUAUUUUAUAUGUAAAAUCUUAACAUCAAUCCGUUAUCGUCCAGCGGUUAGGAUAUCUGGCUUUCACCCAGGAGACCCGGGUUCGAUUCCCGGUAACGGAACUUUUUGUUUUUCGGAUUUAAGGAUAUUGUUAUUAUAAGGUCAUUUCGUAACUAGUUAGAGUAAUGUAAAGAUAAAUUAUUUUUUUGGGGGCGUCAUGGAUAUUGUUAUUAUAAGGUUAGAGUAAUGUAACGAUAAGUUUUGAAGAAAUCUUCGUACUAGUUAUGCGGGUUUCUAAAUUAUUGUUGUUUCGUAUAUGGUUAAAGUAAUAUAAGGUUUAGUUAUGAGGAAAUCCACGUAGAAUUUAUGGAGAGAUUAGUUAUUCGUGUAUUAAUUAGUUUACCUUUUAUUAUGUAUAAAAUAAUAUAUAGAUUUUCUCAUAAUUUAUACGUGUAUGUAUUAGUUAUGUCUAAAUUAUCAAUAAAUUUUAUAUAUGAAUAACUUGUUGUAUAUCAAACUACCAAAAUCGUAUAGGUUAUAUGAAAAUUAAUGCAUGGAUUAAGAUCGUUCUUAUCCAGCUUGUUUGGUGUGAAGGUGAGUUAUGCUUAUAUUAAAUUCUGCAUAACUAAUAUUGUGUUUAAUUUGUUAUUAAAAGAUCCGCAUAAUUAGUAUGUAAAUAGGUUAUGAGGAAUUGUACAUAUAUUUUUUUAUGUAGGUAUAAGGUAGAAUAAUUAAUACAAGUAUAAUUGAUCUCUCCAUAAUCUUAUACCAAACGACUUUGGGGUUAAUUAUUUUGAUGUGAGAGGUGGUGGAUACACUUAACUCAUGAAAUGAGGUAUUUUAUGAAAUUAGUUGUCCCACCAUAUACAUAGAAUAACUUAUUUCAACAUUAUAAUAAAUAAAAGAGAAAAGACAUAGAGUCAGCACUGAAGUUGUUUCAAAUUUUUAAAAAAACACCUUAACUUUGUAAACGUCUUAUUAUUCCAUUGAACAAUUUUAAAUAAAUAUCAUUGACAUAGAGAGUGGUUGCACACUCUCAAAGAGAGUGAGCAACCUAUAAUAAAUAAUAUAAUUUUGUUUUUUAUAAGUACUUUAUUAAAAAAUAUAAUUUCUUAUUUUUCAUGUUAAUAUAAUUUUAUUUUUUAUAAGUACUUUAUUACAAAAUAUAUUUUCUUAUUUUUCAUGUUAUUUUAACUUUUUUUCCUUUUUAUUUUUUCUUUUCUCUUUCUUCUUUCUUCUUCAAAAAUUCAUUCUCAUCUCCAUCUAUUAAAGCUUCUUAUUUUUAAUGUCAUCAUUCUUAUCACAACUUCAUCUUCCUUUUUUGUUAUUAUUAAUUUUACUCUCUUUAAUUUUAAAAUUUUAUCUACAUUUGAAUAAUUUGAUAAACUCGUUAGAGUUCAAGAUGAUUAAGAAGUAUCAUAUAAUUUUUUUUAUCUGAUUUUCAAUUAAGUUCUUUCAUUUUUUGGGAGAUGAUGUGAAAUUUAAGAUAAAUCAAAAUUAAAAGUCAAAAAGUAAGAGAGAGAAAUAAAGUUUUAAAAAAAAGAUAAAGGAAAAAUUUAAAAUAAAAUAAAAAACACAUUUUAAAUUAAAUUAAUAUGUGUCAUAUAAUGAUUGGUGUGUAAACACAUUUUCUUCUUAUAACUUGGAACUGAUCGAAAAAUGACAUAAUAAUAUAUGUUAAAAUUAUUUAAUGAUAUAAUAAGACAAUUGCAAAGUUAAGGUAUUGUAAGUUUGAGACAACAUCAGUAGUAACUUUAUGUUUUUUCUCUAAAUAAAAUAGUAAAUAAAUAAUCAUGAGACUAAUUAAUAUUCUUAAUCAAACACAAAACAAGAUAAUUAACAUUUUAUCUUUGAAUUAUUGUCUUUUAUUCUUCGUACCAAAUGACCCGUGAAGGUUUAGGAUUUUAAAAUUUAAAAAUCGAUUAUUAAAUUUACAACGAUAUACUUUAUUUGUAAUUCUUUUUGGUGUGUGAUAUAAUUUUAUAUUUACUAUUCAUAUAACGAUAAAAUCUUACUAUUUUCAUAUUUAACUUUAUAUCUAAUCAAAGAUGUUAUAUAAUAUGAAAACCGUUCCUAUGGAUUCUUGAAGUCGAUUUAAGCACAUUAAAAAACAGAUAAUUUAUUAUCAAAUCGACGUAUUUGUAAAUUUUGACCUGAUUAAAAAUUUGGAAAAAAUGAAAUUAAAUAUUAAUAAAGUAAUGACAAUGAGAAUGAAGUCAACAAACCAAGCUGGAGUUUAUCAUUCUUUAACCAAAAAUUAAGGGUAUUACAUGUGUGGUUUAACAACUCAAACUACAAAUUGGAUCAUUGAAACAUAUAAAGUGUGCUUAAAUUAUAUGGCAGUGGAACCUUAUUGGUAUGCAAUAUGUUAAUUACAUGGUAUUUAACAACUUCUGUUGAUAAGAAGGGUAUUUUUGAUUCAAUAGUUUGACAUAAAGAGUAGUUUUGAACCAAAAUAUAGUUUAAGGGUAAAUAUGAGAUAUUUUGAAUAGUUUAAGGGUAUUUUUUUACCCUUUCUAUUUAGUCUACGUGGCAGUAAAAUCCUAUUGGCAUGCAAUGUGGCAUCCACGUGACAUUUAACAACUUCCGUUAAUAAGAAGAGUAUUUUUGACCCAAUAGUAUGACAGGAAGGAUAGUUUUGAGCCAAAAUAAAGUUUAAGGGUAUAUAUGAGCUAUUUCGAAUAGUUUAGGGUAUUUUUGAGCCUUUUUCGUAUAAAGGAGUAUGAAAGGAUACGUUAAUAAUAAAUACUUCCUUCGUUUUAAUAUAUUGAUGUAUCUAUAUUUUUUUCUGUUAUUUUACGUAAUUAUAAAAUAAAAUGACAUAUUUAAAACUAUAAAAUUCAAAAGUCUUUUUAUAUCUUUUUUAGAUAUGAUGUCAAAUUAAAACAAGACAAGCAAGUUAAAACAAGUAAAGUAAUAAAUAUUAUUCUCUCAUUUUUUAAUUUAUUUGACCUAUUUUCCUUAAUAAUUCAUUCAAAAAGUAUAUAUAUUUUCCUUUUUAGCAACUUUUCAAUAUAUUUAAGAACAUAUCACUAAAAAAAAUAUUAGUACAUUAAACGUAUAUUAAAUCGAAUAAGCAAAUUAAAACGGAUGAAUUAAUAAACAAUUGAUUUUUUCAAAAGGGAAAGAUAUCCUAAAGGCAAAGGCAAAGGCCACAUGAGAAAUCUUGAUCCGUGAGCCUAAUUGCGUCGAUGGCGUUUGACUUUGUUUUAUGUAUUCUUCGUUCACUUUUAAUUAUCAUCCGUUUUUUUAAAGUAAAUUUAAUUGAUUUUUAAAAUUAAAUUAUAUUAUACAAAUUUGAUACUUUAAAUAAAAAGUUAGAUAUUUAAAAUUAUACAAAAAAUAUUAUAAAUUAUAAUAUUUUUAACAUAUCAAUAUAAUAAAAUUAUAUUAUAAAAUAUUAAUCAAAAUUUUUAUCGUUUAACUCUAAAAAAUGAAUUCGUGACAACUAAAGGACGCAGGAAGUAAAACCUUAUACGAACACGCAAUUUUCUUGAAUGUUCAUUCAAAAAAUAAUUUUUUAAAAAAUAGAAAUUCUCGUCAAAGACUCAAAAGUUUGAUUAGAAAACUAAACAAUAAUUAAUCUUUGUUCGUUUAGUUUUAAUUUCAAGCCAAAUAAAGUAAUCUUAGGAGUAUAGGGGCCAUUUGGAAAGAGAAUUUAUCUCCUCUUUUUAAAAUAAUCGAUUAUUAAUUGAAUUAAUGUUUUGAUUAGUUUUUGAAAAUGAGUUUCUCAAGUGAAAUAAGAUUUCUAACUCACAAUAUUUAUUUAUUUUAAAUGAAUUGUUUCACUUUUCUACUCACAAAAAUUAUUUAUCUUAAUAUGACAUUGACUUUCAAAUAUCAUCUUUCAACUUUCUUUUUCAAAUACCUACAAUUAUAAUUAAUCUCUGGUGUUAAAGAGUUGGCGGAGGUAUAUUACUUUAACUCAAAUUAUGAAUUUAUGUUUAAACUUUUUUUACCAAAUAUAUAUAGAUAAUUGAUUCAAAAUUUAAUAAACAAAAUAUUUUGGCUUUCAAAUCAAAUAAAGUAAAGUAAUUAAAAGCCUGUUGAGAAUGUUGUGUUUAAAUAAUUCAGAUUCGAAUAUUAUUAAAUUUUAAUACGAAUAUUAAAUAUCGAAAGAAAGAAAAAAUACCAAGAAGAAAGACCAGAUCAAUUAUUCUCCUUUUGUUGCUUUUUUCUUCAUUCCAAUCUGUCUUUUUGUUUGUUUUCUAAUUCAAAGCAUCAAUUAUAAAUUUAUAAUUGAAGAAAAAUAGUGACAUAUAUACCUACUAGUCCUCUAUUAUCUUUCUUCUUCAAAGCCACCACAUUUCAUUGACUUCCCAUUUUCUCUUACCAAAAUACUUCAUUUUUCUUCCUUCUUCUCUUUUUUAUUUUUCUUCAAUUUAUGCUAAUUAAAUUGAAUCAAAAGAAAAAAAAAAGUUGUUAGUUGUGUAAUGAUCAUGGAAGAUUAAUUUCAUUUUUGAUUAUUGGUAAGUAUAUAUUGAGUAAUUCUCUUGUUUUUCCUUUUAAUAAUUCAUAUAGACAUGUUUAUAUACAUUAUAUUCAAAAUUAUGAUUGUUCAUAUACGUAUUGUGUGUUGGAAAAUCUUUUAUUUUUAAUAUGAUUAUUUGUUGUUUCCUUUGAUUCGAUUUUUGUGUUACUUGUGAUGUUGUAAGUAUUUCCUUUUUAUAUUGAUUUUGAUAUUGCAUUACUUUAAUCUAAGUUUAUCUAGAACAAUGUUUUUACGAAGAUAAGUUAAGGAUUAUAUAUGCACCGCCCUCUCAUUUUCUACUUGUAAGAUUACAGUGAAGAUAUUUGUUGUUCUGGUUGAUUCUAUUAAGAAAAUAUUGAAUUCAAUUGAACGCGUUAAAAAUUUGAAUAUACAUGUACUGUUUGUCUAUUUUGUAAUAUUGGAUGUUGAAAAUCUAUAUAGACACAUAUUUUUUUUUUGUAUUAUAUUUCAAUUUUUUCAUCUAUAAAUUGCUAUAUAGAUGAAAUUUUGGGUUUUAAUUUCGCAGGAAAAUUCAAAGUAAUUAAAGAUAUAGAAAAUGAACGGUGGUGAUCGAGUUCUAAGACGACGAAAGAGUCUAACUGAACGGCUAGGAUUAAAGAGAAUCGGAUGUUGCGGGUCCACUUGGGGUAUCAUGCCAGCAACAACGUUUGAUGUUGUUGACGAUGAAGACGAAAACGACAACGUAGAAGUGAUGAGUCAUCAUAUCCACACACCGCCACAAACACCGUGUCUGGCGGUGGCCGGAGGAGGAAGUUCCGGAAUGAAUUUGGCGGCUGCAUUGGCCGCCGAACGCCACUUCAGAGCGGAUAAUAAUGAAUUCAAUACCCUUUCGGGUUCAAGGCCCGGCCCAAACUCAAACUCGGGCCCAUUGAGACCCGAUGAAAGCAGCCCAACGAAUGUACCAACUUAUGACGACAAUGAAGUCAACAUUCAUUCGGGCCGACGGCUUAGGCCCGGCCCGAACUCAGUUUCGGGCCUACCGAGGACCGAUGGAGGUGUCUCGGGAAAUAUUCCGGGGACGCCAACGAGAAUGUCGUUGAUGAGGUUGUUAGAGGAAACAGAAGUGUAUGAAGGAGAAUUAUUGAUUGAGAAAGGAGAAGAGGGGGUGGGGAGUGAUAGUGUGUGUUGUGUGUGUAUGAGAAGAAAAAAAGGAGCAGCAUUUAUACCAUGUGGUCACACAUUUUGUAGAGUGUGUUCAAGAGAGCUUUGGGUAAAUCGAGGUUGUUGUCCACUUUGUAAUAGAUCCAUUCUUGAAAUUCUCGACAUUUACUAAGAAGAAUCCAAUGUUUUGGUUAUGCUGAUUUCAGAUUUGUCAUAUAAUAUAUACUUGUAUGUACAAUGUAAAUAGUACUAUUUUCAUGAAUGUUAGGGAAAUGGAAUUACUAUCGUCGAAAAAUUUAGUGACUAAGUGAUAAGUACUUCAUUUUUAUUCUUAAUUAGACAUUUUAAGUUUGAGCCCUAGGUAUAGAUGGCGUAUAAUUAUAUUAUGUAGCUAGUGUGAAAAUAUUUCUUUUUUAUGUAUGUACAUAUAUUACAUAUUGACACUCCUUGACUUUUAUACGAUUUUAUUUCUUUAUAUUUUGACAUUCCUUAAACAAAAUUCUAGCUCCAUCGCUGCUAGGUAUGCUAUAGUAUUACUCGAUAUAAAAUUUUGUUACGAGACUUUAAAUUUAAUCGUGUUUCAAUAGGAUACGAAAAGAAGAUUAGGGUGAAGCGGGAGGAAAAUUUGAUUUGAAGAAUGUGAAAUGUAGUGAAAGUUAGAAGUUUCUAGUGAUUAUCACAAAGACGUAACAUCUUUUUAUCUUUUCUUUUAGUUUGGCUUGUAAUUUGUUUUGGAGGGAAAAAAAAAAGAAAGAUGAAAGAAAAAAAAAAUUUAAAGUAAAAAGUUGUUUUCAAUUUAUUAUUAAUAUAAGAAUCUUCUGAACUCUAAAAGUAAUAGUAGAACAAUAAUAGAAAUGACUAGUUUCAUUUGUUUAUGGUGUAAAAUAAGAAUGAAAAGAAAAGGCAUGGUCUAUCCUAACUAUAAUUUAGAUUCAUCAAGACAGAGAAAUUCAGUUUUAUGCUGGUGUUAAAUGGACGAAUAUAUCAAUUAAGAAAUUUAUUUAAAAAAAUUUAUGAAUUGUGUAGAGAAAAAUAUAUCAAAGCUAGGCGAAAGAUUCUUUGCCCAAAAAUAGUGAAAGGUGUAUGGGUUCAUUUCAAAACCAAAUUUUAAUCUUAACGAUCGAAAAAUAUCAAUCAAACAGAUUUAUAAAAAAGAAAAACAUCAAAAUCGUGGACGGCAGGAUUCGAACCUGCGCGGGCAGAGCCCACAUGAUUUCUAGUCAUGCCCGAUAACCACUCCGGCACGUCCACUUGUGUUAAUCUUAGAGGCUAGCUUUGUAACAAAAAUUGUUUUUUCACUGUACUUCGGUUUGUUACAGUCACUUCUGCAUUCCUCGUUAAAAUUUAUAAUUAUUAACUUUUACGUAACGCUUUAUAUUUCAAUUCGAUACAGUUAUAUAUAUAUGUAUAUUAAUUUUAAUUGACAUAUAAUUUAUGUUCUGAAUAAUCUACUAGCUUGCAAUUACUUGCAUGUGGUGCUAACGUAGCUAAAAUUUAAUAGUUUCGUCUUAAAUUUUGUAUUUGUUUUUGAUACGAAGAAACUCGGGGUCGAGUUACGAAGCAUUCAGCUUUGUCCCAGCCCAGUAUUGAACAACUGACAACUUUUCAAGUUCAAAAAUGAAAGCCAAUGCUAUUGUCCUUCACUCCAAACACUAAUAGUAGACGUAGCCAUCCCGCAUAGUAGUGAAAUGAAUAAAAUUUCGUCACUCAUGAUUAGAUGUUUUGAAUUUAAAUUUUACGUAUAAAAAGUUUAUUAAGAAAGUAUCUUAUUAGGAACGGAAAAAGGAUCAAAAAAUUCCCUUAAACUAUCUGAAAUAGCUCAGAUAUACACUUAAACUAUAUUUUCACUCAAAACUAUCCUUCCCGUCAAACUAUUGGAUCAAAAGUGACUUUAUUAUUGGCGGAAAUUGUUAAAUGUCACAUGUGUCACAUUGACUAAAUCCCUAAAUCUUAAAUACUCAUUUCAUUAUUUCUCGGAAAUGAUUUUACCCCUUCUCCCUCAUUUCGUGGCUAAGGUUUCACAGUUUUCUUCGUCACUAGGUUUCAAAGUUGAUAUUCGUGGUUAUAGGUUAGUAAAUUUUUUUCUUAUUUUAUUUUGUUAACAACCACGAAAAUCCACUUUGAACUCAGCUCUGAAGAAAGUUAUGGAACCUUGGCCGCGAAAUGACGGGAAAGUUGUGAAAUUCUAACUAUCAUACUUUGAAAUCGUAAACGUAAUAAAAUAAGAAAAAAUAUUUACUAACCCAUAACCAUGAAUAUCCACUUUGAAACUCAGCCCCGAAGAAAGCUACGAUGUCUUAGCUGUGAAAUUAGGGGAAAUUUGUGAAAUCCUAACUAUUAUACUUUGAAAUUGUAAACAUAAUAAAAUAAGAAAAAAUAUUUACUAGCCUACAAGCAUGAAUAUCCACUUUGAAACCCAGCCACGAAAAGAAAAUAUGAAACCCUAGCCGCGAAAUGAGGGAGAACAGGUGAAUAUAUCAUUUCUGAAAUAAUGAAAUGAGGGGGGAAGUAAUUAGGAUUUAGGGAUUUAAUCUAUGUGGUAGUGGAACCUUAUUAGCAUGCAAUGUGGCAUCCACACGACAUUUAAUAAUUUUUGUUGAUAAGAAGGGUACUUUUGAUUCAAUAGUUUGACGGGAAGGGUAGUUUUGAGCCGAAAUAUAGUUUAAGGGUAAAUAUGAGCUAUUUCGAAUAGUUUAAGGGUAUUUUUGAUCUUUUCUAUUUAAUCUACGUGACAGUGGAAUCCUAUUGGCAUGCAAUGUGACAUCCAUAUGGCAUCCACGUGACAUUUAAUAACUUCCGUUAAUUAGAAGGGUAAUUUUGACCCAAUAGUAUGACGGGAAGGGUAGUUAUGAGCCGAAAUAAAGUUUAAGAAUAUAUAUGAUCUAUUUCGAUUAGUUUAGAGAUAUUUUUGAGUCUUUUCCGUAUUAGGAAUAAAUUUCAUCACUUUUAAUUAGAUGCUUCGUAUUUAUGCUCUACCAAUGAAAAAAAAAGGAUCAUACUGUGAAAUAUUUAUCCUUUAAAAGGAGUCUUUAAGUGACGAUUUCAAUUUAUGUCGGUAUCAAUAAAAAUAUCCAAUAUCAAAAUAAAAAGGGAUAAUGCCUAAGUACCCCUUCAACCUAUGCCCGAAAUCUCAGAGACACACUUAUACUAUACUAAGAUCCUAUUAUCCCCUGAAAUUAUUUUAUUAAUAAUUUUUUACCCCUUUUUAGCUUACGUGGCACUAUCUUGUGGGCCCAACGAUGGUCGACUUUUUUUCGAACUAGUGCCACGUAGGCUAAAAAGGGGUAGAAAAUUACAUAUAAAAUAAGUUCAGGGAUAAUAGGACCUUAUUAUAGUAUAAGUAUGUCUCUGGGAUUUCGGGCAUAAGUUGAGGAGUACUUGGGUAUUUCCCAAAUAAAAACAAAAAAAACUAUUAUAAUUAUAUAUUUCGAAUUCAAUUCCUGAGUAAAAAAUAAUCUACUCAAAUGAAUUUUAAAAAAUACGAAUUUAAAUUAAUCAGUUAUAUUUUAAAAGAAAAACUAUAGUAGUAUCAAUGGAGAAGUAAUAAAAUUUCCCAAAUUCCCAAAAUUCUCAGUACUAUCGAAAAUGUUGCUACAAUUAUUACUAACACUCACACUGUGUAGCACAUUCUCACUAGCUCACUCCCACUACAAUUGGUCACCGUCUUCCUCCUCCACCGUCGCCGCCGCCGCCGCUCACCCAUCGGAGUGGCGCCCGGGACGGGCAACCUACUAUGCUCCAGCAGAUCCACGGGAUGUAGUAGGUGGCGCGUGUGGGUACGGUGAUUUAGAGAGAAGUGGUUAUGGUAAAUCAACAGCUGGAUUAAGCACUGUGCUAUUCGAAAAGGGUCAGAUUUGCGGAGCUUGCUUUGAAGUUCGAUGUGUUGAGGAACUCCGAUGGUGUAUUCCGGGUACUUCGAUUAUUGUUACUGCAACGAAUUUUUGUGCUCCGAAUUAUGGAUUUGAACCUGAUGGCGGUGGACAUUGUAACCCUCCAAAUGCACAUUUUGUUCUGCCGAUUGAAGCUUUUGAGAAAAUUGCUAUUUGGAAAGCUUCGAAUAUGCCUGUUCAGUAUCGAAGGUAGUAUAGUUUCUUGUCCUUUAAUUUCUGUUAUUAUUUGAUGUUUCUUAUAUUUCGAUUAUCAUAUUAUUUUGUCAUAGUUAUUGUUCUGCUACUAUCUGCUAUUUUGCUAUUUCUUAUGUUGAUGAUCUAUCGGAAACAACCUUGGAAGUAAGAUUUGCCUACACUCUACCCUCUUGGGAUUCCAUUUUGUGGGACAUUGGGUAUUGUUGUUGUUGUUUUUAGAUGCUUUACUGGGAGAAUUCAUUACUCCAUUUGUUUCACGAAUAAUUCUGAUCUGAUUAAAGGAGAAAAAUGGUCAUCGAGGAUUCAUAUAGCCAAUCUCAGCUUAUUUGGGAUCAAAGGUGUAGUUGUUGUUAUAAGAAGAGCAUUAGAUGGUUCAAAGGUUGGAAAUUUUAGUAAUUUUGGUCAAAUUUCUUAGGAAAAUUUUAGAAUUUUGGGGUCCGUAACAAUUUAAAUGUCUCGUAAAGGGCUCUCAUGAAACUAUUCACAUAAUUUCAUUUGUGAUUCUCUAAUUCAAUGUUGUUCAUGGAGGAUUAAACUAUUUUCCCUUCAUAGUAAUGUGCAUCAUACUCCCCUAAGGAUAGCGUGGUGGUUGAAGGGUUGGAAUGACAACCAAGGGUAUCAAGGCUCGGAUUCUAGUAGAGAGCGAGCAGAUGAACUCUUCCCAUCUGCCUAAACCUUGGUUCAUAUAGGGUCGUCUAUUUGUGGCAAAGCUGAACAUAAUUCCAAUCUUGAACUAAUGAAUCAACUAUGCCUCAAAUCGAAACUAGUUGUGGUCAACCAUGUGAACCUUCUAUAUCGAUAAUCACCAGAGUUACAGUAUUUUACGUUGAUUUUCAUCAUAGUAUGUAUUAAAGCUUACAGAGCAGCUGCUUCCUUAUUCCUCCCUGCCCUUCACCACCAUAUCUUCAAGCACAGCUCCUUUAGUGUGCUUGGCAUUACCUUGCUCAUAUAAAAUAGAUCAAGCCUCAAAAUCUGUGGAUUUCCCGGGCACCAACAUUUUAUAAGGGAAGUCCUUCUGUUUCCCUUCUAAUAAAACCAUUCACCGAUCUACACUGAAUUUAGUAUUCAUUGCUUUCACCACCUUCAGGUGUCACUAUGUUGCACUUGAACAUUCACCUACUAUUCACCUUCUUUGUAAGUCUUGCAAAAGUUCCUUUGAAAUCCAGAUACAAUAUAUGGUGCAUCUCCAGUUCACCGAGGACAUGACCCUUCAUAGAGGAUGUAGAGGUCGAGGAUUAGAAUUUGUUUCCUUUCCCAGAGAUCAGUAUAAUUCUUUUCUUUCUGUUAUUGAUAGAUUUCUAUCACUAGGGGUUGUUUCAAUAUCUUAUUAUCUUCUUGUUCUUUUUAUUUGUUACUAUUGUGUCUUUUUCAUUGUUUGCUCAGUGAGGGUCUUUCGAAAACAGCUUCUCUAGUUGGUGUGUUGUUGUCUUCUUCAUGAGCCUUGCAAAAGUCCCUCUGAACUCCAGAUACAGUAUAGUUUUGUAUCUUGAUUAUUAGCAAGUACAUGUAUAGUAUUUAUCUAAAUAUUCAAGUUUUUGUUAGCUCUUCUGUUCUGAAUCUACAGUUGAUGGAGAAUUUACAGUGUGCCUUUUUUUCACAAUUUCCAACAGAAUUAAGUGCAGAAAGGAAGGAGGAGUUCGAUUCACGAUCAAUGGUGCUGGAAUAUUCUUGUCUGUUUUAAUCAGUAACGUUGCAGGCGCGGGUGAUAUAGUGGCAGCAAAAGUUAAGGGUUCAAGAACAGGAUGGCUUCCCAUGGGUAGGAUUUGGGGCCAAAACUGGCAUAUAAGUGCGGAUUUGAAGAAUCAACCACUUUCUUUCGAGAUAACAAGCAGUGAUGGAGUCACCUUAACAUCUUACAAUGUUGCUCCGAAGAUCUGGAAUUUUGGACAGACUUUUCAAGGUAAGCAGUUCGAAUCGUAGGCUGUUCUGGACCUUCCUUGAGGUAUUCAUCAAGAUUGAGUUGUGCUUGUUUCUGAUGGGGAACUACCAGAUGUAGAUUUUGGAGUGCAAAGUUGUAAGAUCACUUGAAUGUAUUAGUAUGUUUCAUUGUUUAUACAUGUGUUGUGUAUUGUAUUGUGUUGGUUGCUAUAUGAAGAAUAAUGUUGCACAUACAGCCGGUGUCACUGUAGAUAAUUUUCACUCCAGCAGAUGAAUUCCAUGUUCAGGCGAUAAACGCCUAAAGAUCCGAAUCAGGAGGCAUGAUUACACUAAGUAAGUAUGUCGUUGUUUCUACAAGAAUUAUGGUCCAUUCUCCAUUUAUAAGGGCUGAAAAAGGUAAAUCUCUAGCACCUUAGAGAGUGAACAAAUAACCUAUGUUGCUCGAAUUCACACGUGCAUUUUGGAGGAUGUACAACAAACAUUUUCAGAGAGUGCGAGCAACAUAACAAAUAACUAUAUAUCUAAAUAAGAUCAAAAAUGCAAUUAAAGCCAAACUUCAUCUACAGUUAUAGCAAAAAUUCCAGUGGUUGGAGAGGGAAGAAGAGGUAAAUUUCCUCACCUUGCAACAUUACAACACAAUCAGAAAAUCAUCUUGAUAUGGCUAGAAAGCCAUGAUGCUCGAACCCUCCAAAAGUGUUGCCACACACCAGUGUUGGGUCCUCAAAAAUGCAUUACUUUUGGAGGAUCCAACAUGUACCCAACGGAGCUUCAAACAUACAAGGAGAGUUAAGAAGCUUUUUGGAGACGAAGUUCUAAUUCCAAUGCAAGAGCAUCAAACAUACAAAAGAGUCAUAUAUGAACUCAAGUUAGACCUUAAAACUACCAAGAAACACACAAAACAGCAAGCAUUCAAUUCAUCAACCUUUGAAAUUUAACUAGAGAAGCAGGAAAAGACAAGGUCUAUUAUGGUAUCAAAUCUAAGUAGGUUCAAGAGAGAUAUCGUCAACUUGACAUAAAAGCAAGUAGAAUACCAUAUAGAGAUGCAAUCAUGUAACUGGAUACUCAAAAUAUUGUACAUAUUUCAGAAACGUCGAUUGUUCUACAUAUGAGAUAUGAGGAGUUUCUCCUGCUCUAGAAUACAAUUCGUGUAAGUAUCAGUAAUCAUACAAAUGAACAAGGGGGAAAAGAAUAUGAACUACCAUCAAAGAAUUCUUGCUAAACAUAUCAGUUGCCAAAUGAAUACUUGGAAAAAAAAUAUUCACCGACGUUAUUGAAGUAUGAGUUCAAGCAAUUACCAAAGUGAUUCUAUUUCCCUUUCCCAUUGCGGAAGGGUGUCAUAUCGUUAACCAUAAUCGCUCCAUCAUAGCUUCUGGUUAGAUUCUAUCAGCAAUCCAUUUAACAUGAUAUGUACAGCAGCUUCAUAGACAGCCCCCUCAUAAUGCAUCCCAUCGGACGUACAAUCAGCUCCACAUUUAUUACUCAACGAAUGCACGUCCAGCAAAAACAAUGGUCCACCAGAUUGUUGAAGAAGCUUACUUCUGUAAAGUUCAUCAUUAUAAGCUUCCCACAUUACAUCAUUCAUCUUCUCCCUCUUCUCAUCUGUUUUCAACAUUGAGCUUAUCAACUUAGGCAUCCCCAACCAAAACAAGUUGGGCGACCGAACUGGAACCACAAUAUUUGUCCCAGAACCAUCACUGUUAGCAAACGCUGAAGAAACUGGUAACAACAACACUACUGAAUCCUUCAAAGACUUUAACGAAACACCAUAGUCCGAAGCGUUAUUUACAUGUAACAUAUCCCAUAACCCUGCCCCCAUCACAAAUACAUCAGGAUAACUCUUUUUUUCUUUGAACCUCAUUAUCAAAUCAGUCAAAUUACUCAUAUAAGGUGCCCAUAUAAAGUCCAGCUUCAUCCCAAUCUCAUCAACAAAUAUGUUAUAAUCACUAUGCCUCAAGAAAAGAUCCUUCUUUAUCAACUCCAUCUUACUAUCUCCCAAUAACAACUCCAAAAGUGAAACCACCAUUAACCUAGCUUGUGAAUCUCCAGCAACAACAACCCAUGACCCAUUUAACAAAUCUGAAGCAUCAUUCAUAGUCAACUUCUGGAAAUCACAAUCUACAACAUUUUCAGACUCGACCCAUUUCCAAGAACCCCUUUUACUAUUAUUACUCAAUUCUUGAAAAUCAAAUGCUACUUGGUGAAGUAAAGAAAAACAAGAAUCACGAUUUACAAUAACAGAUGAUAAAGAAUCUGAACCUGAUGAAAGAAAAGAUGUAACAGAAGGGAAAUAUGGAACAAGAUGAACACCAACAGCAAGAGUGAUGAAAAGGGCACAACUGAAAAAGAGCAUCUUGUUACGGCUCAAAUGCCAACCUGCCAUACCCAUAGGGACAAAAAGUACAACCCCUGCUGCAAAAAGUCCUAAUUGGACAGCACCCAACAUGAUUUCUUGAUCUUAAAUCACACCCAUAGAGGUGUGGAAUCUGAAAAUUUGAAAAUUUUGACUUGAAAUGAUGAUUUUUUUGGUGGGAUCUUCAACAAAUUGAUGAUUUUUUGGAACUUAAGGAAAAAGAUUCGAUCUUUUUGUUUUUUGUUGUUGUGGGGAAGUGUAAAAGGGGUAGUUGAGAUUGUGAAGAUUAUGAAUGAAGCAAAAUUUGUAAAAGAGGUGAUGGCUAUGGAGCAACUGUGAGAAAGAGAGAAGGAGAACAAUGUCGAAAUUCUGAAUCGGGUCAAGGAUGAACGAACCUUGUGAUAUUGGGCCAAAUUGGGCCUAGAACAUUUCCAUGAGUUAUGACUCAUGGGUAUGCGUUCGAUAUGAAAAAAAAUAUUUUUUUUGAAAAAGUUAAUCUGCGUAAGUAAGAGAAGUGGGCUAUUGAUGGUUUCAAAAAAGGUAGAGAUAGGUCGAAAAAAUAUUGAAAAGGACUUAUUAGAUAAGACGUGAUAUGAUUUCUGGUUACUAAAAAUAUGAUUUUAGAUAAGAGGUUAGGGAGGAUAUGAAUUUAGAUAGGAUGGUUAAUUCGACAGUUGAUCGUCGUUUCGCUUUGAAUUUAUAUACACUUUUGAUUAUUGUUUUAUCUUGUUUUAAGUAUUGUUUAGGAUGAAAUCUACACUAAUUCUUCUAUUAUGUUACUUCUUUCCCUAUAUCACUUUGGUUGUAUUUUUCUUGGAUCUGUUGGAAAUAGCAUUUAUAUUUUUAAGAUAAUGGUUUUUGCAUACACUUUACGUUUCUAAAGCUUCAUUAGUAUAAUUAUACUAAGUAUACUGUACUCCCUCCGCUCAAUAAGAGUUGUUCACUAUACUAAAAAUAGAUGUCCAACAACAUUUGUUCACUUUAUAAUUCAUGGAUGAUUUUACAGGUAAUUUCCAUUUUACCCUUAUCAUUAAUAUAUAGUCUUUUUUUUUCUAUAACAUUUUUCAGCAUAUUAUAUUUAUUACAUUCAAAGGGUGAUAUAAUAAAAUUAUCCUUUUAUUUAUAGUUUCUAAAUAGGUGUUUCAAGUCAAUAAUAAACAAUUAUUGUUGAAUAGAAGAAGCACUUGUUUAUAAGAUUACACAUAAAUAACAUAUCAAUGAAAUAUCAUAAAUAAGGUCCGAAAAAAGUAAAAUGUACGCAAACUUUAUCACUAUAUCAUAGAGAUAGAUAGAUCGUUUUCAUAAAAACCUAGCUGAAGUAUGGCAAUUUUUAUGUACAAAGACAAGGAAAUAUUGAAAAAUAAAUAAAUAUAAUAUGUAAUAAGAAGACAAUGCAAAAUUUACCAUAAGACAACAAAAUACUAAAAUAUAUUAUUAAAAGCAAAAACUACAAUACAACAUCUAAUAUAAUAUUAUCAUAUAUAUCAAAAUAGGACGUGAAAUAUAUUAUCCUAAUUUUUUUUGCAGCAAAUGUGAUUCUAUUUCAAUAUUUCAUAUGAAAUGAGUAUUAAUAAAAUUCAGAAUAUAUAUAAUAUUUUAUAAGUUGUUUUAUCAAAAAAUUAUUUUCGAAAAGAGUUUGUUUUAUUUUAGACUUUUUAGGAGUCGCCACUUAAUUUUUAAGGAAAAUAAAGAAAACUUUAAUUUUCAAAACACUUACCAAAAAAAUCAAUUGAAAAUAUUAAAGGGGUUCGGGAUUCCUAUUAGCAUCUUAGGAAGGUGUUUAAGGCACCUAAGACUCUCCGCUAACUACGGUUUUCCAACGAUUAACAAUAUUUGACUAUUUUUGUUUUCAAAUUUUUACAAAGCCUUAAGUUGAACUUUCAAAACAUUCCCUUAGGCAAAUUUUCAAGUUUUGAAUAUUUAUUAUUUUAAGACUUAGUUUUAACUUGAUAAAAUAGAACGGCGUUUCGAAAGGGGCUUUGGAGUUUUCUAAUCCUAAGCUAACGGCACUCAAAACGAAACACAAAAGCAACUAAAGGAGAGAUAGAGAGAGAGAUUUUGGGUCCAAAUUCGGGUUCUGUUCGCCUUGACCGAAUUUUGGACCCACCUGUCGUUGGGUUUUUAACCUAUUUUGUACCUGUCCUAAUCUAAGCAUACAAGAUAAAAUAGAAAUAAACAAAGAAAACGAGGAAAACAACUAGGGCUUAUGCCCAUUAAAAAAUGCAAAAAUAAAUAAAAAGGGUCUUCUAAUCCCGUGCUCCCUCGGCUUUCGAUCUUCGUAGAACUCGAAAUUUAACUUCAUACGCCGGUUUUCACGAAUUGACUCGAUGAAAGACAUUUAGAGCCUUUAUGGCUCCCUCGGAAUAAAGAGGACAAGAGUUUAAUAAACUCGGACGGUUUUACAUGCAUAAAGAUGGAAACCAUGAUUAGAACCUCACAUGAUCGAAACUGAAAUAAAUACAAGGUAAGUCAAGACAAUAUCCCAAAUAAUUAUAACACAAAUAACUUAAGACAUGGACAAUUAAUAUAGGGAGACAAAUUCUAAAGAAACUUAAUAAUUCAAAUCACGCCAUUUACCACAUGAUAAUCUACUUAAGCAAGGGGACAAAAUGGCAAAUACAGAAUCACAAUACUAAGUGAAAAUAAGCAGCUAAGUUGUUCAAUCCAUACUUCAGUUGAUAUACGACAUAAACACAUUUGUAUCUGGGGGUUCUGUUUUUUUUUCUCUGGGUUCUCGGAAUGGUGUAGGGGAAGGGGGAAGGAGAAAGAGGGGAGAUGGGUCGGGUUUUUUCAGGUAUUGGGUUGGAAAGGAAGUGGGCUGCUGAUGGGUAAUUGGGCCUGGGGAUGUUGGGGCCUGGAUUUAACUUAGUGUGUAUUGGGUCGCCUGAGAAUAAAUGGGUUGGGAUUUUAAGAUGGGCUGCUGAAUAUUUGGGUUUGGAAAGGGAAACUUGGGCCUGGGAAUUAGGAAUAAGGUGAGGGGCCCAAAUUUGGCUCUUCCAAAUUAAAUGGAAAAAGAGUUCAAUUUAAAUAAUAGUCAAUCGAUUCAAAAACGAAUUAGGUAUAAAUUUAUUAACGAGCCUAUUUGUUUAGUAACAUUAUUAUUUAAAUUAUAAAAUAAUGAUUCAAAAUAUAAUUGUGAUUUAAAGUAAACUAGUUUAAUAGAAUACUUUCUAAACUUAAGAUAUACAUGUAUAUAGAUAUUUUAAUUUUCGCAAGCUUUAUAAAACUAGUUAACUUAAAUAAUUUGAAAAACUCACGAAGCUCGAUAAUUAAGUUAUACCAAUGUGGGUCAAAAAUUGGGUGUCAACAUAAGUGUUCAAGGAGAUUCUAAAUUUCUAAUCGUUACCCAAGUGGGCAACAAAGUCAAAGUGAGUUUCAUUUGUACUUUAUUAUUAAGUUUUUUUUAAUACAAAUUUCGUAGAUAUUAUUAAAAUAAUUCUCAAUACAAAUAUUAUAAUUAUGUAAAAUUAGUGAUUUCUCCAUUUAUAAUGAAUUUUAUAUAAUAUUUAGGUAAAAGUUUUUACAAUUCUUUGAAUAGAGAAUAUAAUUAUGUGACUUUAGUCUAUGAUAAAUCAUAAUCAUGUGAUGGAAAAUUAAUUAACCUAUGAAGAUGGAAUCAAAAUGAGAAUAUUAGGAUAAAGAAUUGGACUUUCUAAUAUAAUAAAACAAAAAUGUGACAAUCACAUGAACUUUUUCGAAAAUGAUAUAAAGGGGAUGUCGAUGACAAAAAAAAGACCAGCAAAACAAUGCAAAACUUCAUUCCUUGUGGUUAACAUUGGAGCCAAGUAAGACCAAGAGGUCUUUGACAAAACAUUAUAUCGUAAAUUUAAUUUUAUUUAUUUAAUAUGUAUUGAACUUUUUAUAUUUAAAUUUGUUAAAUAAAGAAUUUGGUCCCAUUACUAUUAUUGUGUAGUGUGCCAAUAAUUUUUGUUACGUUAAAAAAGAAAAGAAUGGACUAGAAAGAGAUGGUCAUUUUUGUUUUUGCUUUUUAUUCAUUGUUAAAUAUCUAAAUUAAAAUUGAUUAAAUCUAAUUUUUUUACAAAAAAUUUCAUUUGAUAUCUAUAUUAAAAUUGAUUAUCGAGAAAUUUCAUCAUAAGAGGAAAGAUACGUAAUACUUUGUCUUUUUAGAAUGAUGACAAAAAAAAUGUGUGCGGUUCAUAGUAUAUCGACGAGAAACAUGUUGCUUUAACCAAGUGUGGAUUAUUCAAUGUAUUAAUAUCGAAUUUAUCUGGAUUUAAUCAUAAACUUUAAUUUAUACGUAAAAGUUUAUAAAAAUCGUAAUAAAAUACUAUUCUUUUUGUUCUAAAUUUUUAUCGAUAGUUCUUUAAUUUCAAUUUUUUUUUCAUAUUAUAUGUUUAAGAUUAUAAGAUGAAAUGACGUUUUAAUACAUUCUACGUAUUUUUUACUUUAAAUAUUGAACUAAUAAAAUUUAAAUUCGAAGUCUGCUUUCUAACAUUCCAUCUUCAUCAUACGAUCAAUCGUAAUCUAAACUAAUACAUCAUAACAUGCAAAUAUAAUGCAAUAUAAAACAUCCAAAGAGACACACAACUUUAUAAAAUAUGGUACAUUUUCAAUCAUAAAAGGAAUUAUCUUUUUGUUUUAGGCCAAAUAUGUGGGCGUUGGCCCUGAAAGUUUGUUUUAAUUGUCAUUUUAACAUUAAACACACAAGUGGACAACUAUUUAAAUUAAUUUUUCAAAAAGUUAAAGGUCCUAAUUAAAUAUCCAAUAUAUGGUAAUCUUUAAUUUUGUUACGUGAAGGAAAGAAAAAGGUGUAAAGUAGUGAGAAAUGGAUUUUAUACCUAACUUGCAGUUUGAAAAAUAUAAAUCAUCGAUGAUUUGGUGGUGAUAACUAUAAAAAGAUAUAGCUGAAACUUUAAAAAUAUGAGAGUUAUAUUUAAAUUGUAUAAAUACAAACGAUAAUUAUAAUACAAUUCAAAUUCAAUAUUAAGAAUUGCUAUAAAUUUGAUGGUUAUUAUUCUACAAACAAAUAUAAUACAUGUCUGUAAACUAAUUUAAAUAGUAUAUAUCGAAAUGUUUGGAAUUCAUACAUAAUACUUAUUAUAUAAUAUAUUGGUUUUAAAAAUGUUUUAUUUAUUUAUGUAAAAUGAUGACCGAAAUAAUAUAUUCUACUUUUUAUAACCGAUUAAACUAAACUUUUUAUAAAUUGUUUUGGAGCAACCUUAUUUUGUACUUUAAAAAAUUCAUUUUUUUUAUUUUUUCGACUUUAAAGCCAAAAUUAUCCUUUAUUUAUGAAAGUGGAUGUAUUUUUAUCCCUUUAAUAUAAGGUUGAGUUUUCUUUAAGUUUGUAAUGUUAAGUGGGGCACUUUAUAUUAGUCCAAUUAACAGAAUUGACUUAGAAAUUGAUGGCGAUUACUUGAAAAAAUCGCUACAAAAAACAUAAUAAAAAUAAAAUUUCAUUUGAUUUUUAAACCAAAAGAAAAGUGACAUGACUAACGAUUUGAUCCCAUCUUCUUUUUUUUUUUAAGAAAAAAAUUAAAAGAAAAAUUUAUUAAACUGGAUGAUUAAUUUUAACAUAAAAAUUAAAAAAAUAAAAAUCAAUCGAGCUCACUAUUUGAUAUUAUUAUUUUCAUCUUGAUAUUGUUACUUCAUAUCACUGAAUUAUAAAAUGCGUUAACGGCAAUUAUCAUAGACGCAGACUGAAAGCAUAAAAUUACAACUAUUCCAUUUUUGUUUUUUUUUUUGCCAACCCAAAAAAAAAACUAAUAAUUUAUUUACAUAAUUAUAGAAAAUUGGAAUUUAUUCAUGUUUUUGGACCAUUCAGAUAACCCCACAAUAAAAAAAAAGUGCACAAAAGUGCAAAGUGCUACGUGUCCUAAUUAUAGCCAUACUACAUUUGUGCAUAAAAUUAGCCACCAUUAUUUUUAAGAUUAUUCUUUUUCUUGUUUUAAUUUAUAUGCCACACUUUCUUAUUAAUCCAUCUUAAACAGAAUGACACACUUUUUAUUUGACAAAUAUUUAAUGACAUUAUUAACAUUUUAUCCUCGUUAGAUUUCACUUAUUUGGUUAAAGGUGGUGUACUUUUCUAAUCUAAAAUCAUUAAUUUUAGGUAUAAUUUUAGAACAUUGCAAAGCCUUUUCAUAUAUUUAAACAAUGUACAUAAUUAUGUAAUUAUGUUAUGUUAUAUAAAUUGAGACGAAAAAAAUAUUAUUUAUCAGGUACGAGUGUCACUUUACACUAGAGGUGUUUACGGACAGAGACGAAUCCAAGAUUUGAACUUCAUGGUGUCAAGUAUACACAUUGCUUAGAUUAUUAAAUCAACUUUAGGUUUCAAUUCCGCACAAAAUCUAUAAAACAUAACCUUUUUAAAAAUAAUUUUACUAAUAUUAUAAACAUAUAUUAUUCAUUUAUAAUAGUUCUCGACGAGUUUACAUAUUUUCAAAACUGUCAAUUAGAACAUCAUUACUUAUAUUUGUAAAUGUAUCACUUACUACGUAACAAACUAAACAAAUCAUUUGAAUAUCACUCAUCACUCUUAUUUAUAUUUUAUUUUUUUAUCUACUUCACCAAAGAAAAUGAUAAUUUCACAAUUGCGAUUGCUACCAGAAAAAUAUUUACUUAAUCAAUUUUAAAAAGAUUAAGUAAUAGAAAUAUUUUUUAUUUUAUUAAGAAAAGAGGAUUUUAUCAUAUCUAAAUAUAAAUUAAAGAUGAAGUUACUAUGAUAUUAUUUAAAAAGUAAAUGACAUUAUUCUAUUUAAAUUACAAAAUGAGAUUAAGAAAAGUAUAACUAUUUCCAUUUUUUUAGCUAAAAGGAUUUCAAAAAAAAAAAAGUAACAAGAAAGAGAUUUUUUAAAAAUAAUAAUUUUAUUAGAAAUAUAUAUAAAAAAUUAAUAAUAUUCGUUAGAAAAAGUGAAUUUUCAAAAUAAUAAAGUAAUAACACGAAUACUUUUAGGGUCAAACAAUUAAUAGUGGAGAAUGGAGAUAUUUUUAGUACAAAUUAUUUAUACAAAAUAUCUUUAUUCAAUGUGACAUAAUUUUAAGCUAUUUUUAACACUUUUCCAUCAAAUAAAUAAUUAAUAACAAAUUAUUAAAAAAUCAAAGAUUAAUAAAUUAAAUUAAUGAACUAUAAUUAGUUAUUAAAACCAAGCCAACUAGAAUUAAAUAGAAAAAAGGAAAUAUAAUCUUCAAAAUAUGCUUUGUUGAAGUAUAAUUCCUCGUCUAUUUAAAGCUUCGGAGAUUUAAAUUGGCAAGCGAAUUACACAAAGCAAAUGAAACUACACCUUUUGGUUCUGUGGGUGUCAUUUGCUUAUUUAUAAACAUUGUACAUAUAUACACCUAUAUGUAUAUCACGUUUCGAUCGAAGCUCGUGGGUGGCGUGGCACCCAUAAAUCGUAGUAGAUUCGCCCCUGUUUACGGAUCGAUUUAGGUCGGUUAUAGAUCAAAAUCAAAUCAAUUUAAUUAAUUUUACCAAUCAAACCAAAUCAAAUAUACUAUACAUUUAUUGGUUUGGUUGUUCGAAUUUCGAUUUGAUUUGAUUCAAUUAUUCGAUUAUCAAUCAUACAGAAAUAAAAGAAACAAUUCAUUUUAAAGAGGAACAAAAGAGGCAAGAACUCAUUCAAAAUGAAAAAUACUUAAAAUAGCCGAAUUUAUAAAACUUUUUAUUACUAAAUUUACUGUGAAUAAAACUUUUAAAUUCACCAUUUUAGCCUAGAAGUAAGAGAGAAAAACAUUUCCACCAAGAAUUGUCAAGAAUACUCAUAUACAUGAAACCAAUAUGAUAAAUGUUCUCUUCAGGACGGUUCAUAAAUAAAUUAUGAUAAACAUAUAUAAGAUAUUUAAAAUAAAAUAAAAUAUAUAUAUAUAAAAUUUAUCGGUUCGAUUAUUUCUUCAACUUUUUAAAUAAAAUCAAAGACUAUCAAUUCUUAAGAAUCUUAGAACAAACUAAACCAAAUAAAAUUAAACGAUUUAAUCAACUUAAUUUAAUUUUUCAAUGUGGGUCAAUUUUUAUCCAAAUACUUUUACACCCACUUUUCACCAUCACAAGGGGUAAGAACUAGCAAAUUAUUUUGCCUUAACAAAAACUUACUAUUGGUGUAGAGAAAAUUGGUUGAUUUUCUUAUCAAUAUAUAUAAUUUAGUACCCAAUUUUCCCAAAACUAAAUAAAAUAUAGAAUAUCCACUAAGGUGGUUACACGUGUACACUCAACCAAUGACGGCACUUCAAAUUCUUGAUAACGGUAUCUUCCCACCUUCAUAUAUUUCAACAUUUUAUUGUUAAAAUAAAAUCGCACGCUCUAUUUUAUCUAAAUUUUAUUUAUAGAAUUAUAUUAAGUAUGUUAUUAUUAAUUUUUACGUAUAAAUAUAUUUCAUAUUAAAAUCAUAUAAGUUGACAUCACUAAGUUCGUUGGAUUUGCAUGUAGACCCAAUUAUUCAGAUACUCAACAUGACUCAUUUAAUAUUGGAUUAUUGAAAUAUUUGUAAUACAUUAAGAAUAUAAUUGUUAACUAUUUUAAUUUUUAAUUAUACGUAAAUAUCAAACAAAAAUAUUAAUAUGAUCGCUAUAUUAGAUGAUAACUAUAAGGAGCCUACACAAUUAACACUAUUUAACUCUAUUCUUUGCAUUUAUAAAAAGUUACUUUAGUCUUAGGUUCACAAUGUCAAAAUCUAAACAACUAAAAACGACGAGGAGUAAGGUUUGCAACGACGAUAACAAGGAUUAGGCAACAAUUAGAGUUGUGAAUUGUGAGUAUUAACUAUACUUUUACUAUAUUAGGCAGAAUUUUUGCACUCAAUGAGUAACUUGAUUUAUUUAUUUUUUAUUUCGCCCUAAAUUAUUGGACAAGUCAUAUAUUUGUUUUGAAAACAUUCUUUUAUUGGCUAAAUCGAAAAUUGAAUCGUUAAAGAUCAAAAAUCAAUAACAAAUAUCUUAUUGGUUUAACAUAUUUAAAAAUAAAAAACCAAUAAAUCUAACUAAUAAUAUUUAAUACGAAAACGAAAUGGACUGACACACAUUCCUAAAUUUUUGGUCAAAAUUUUUUCAUAAUUUCCCUAAAAUCUAAAAUAUUAAAUAUUUGACGGAAACAAAAAAUUCACUUUUAAUAAAUUAUUUGAAGGACUAAAACAGUGGAAGAAUAUAUUUAAGAAGCUAAUUUGAACCUAGUGCCAAAUAUAAAGGGACCAUUUUUGUCAUUUUUCAACUUGAAAAUCUACGUGUCUUAAUAUAACACCAAAGAAUUAAUAUUUACUGAAAAAAUGUAAAAAUGAGGAUAUGGAUUCUGAAUCACUCAAUUCCAAUCAGCAAAAAUAAAAUAAAAUAAAAUAAAAUAAAAUUUAAAAAAUAAUAAUAAAUGCUAUAAAAUGACCAAAAUGUGUGGAGCAAAAAGUGCAGAAAAAACCAACAAAUUGCAUUCUCCAUUCUUGGAAGUGGCCAUUCUUGAUUUCUUGAAACAAAGGUUUGUUUCCCUUCACUUCUUGAUAUGUAAAGUUGCAAUCUUUAUAACUUUCUAUUGCUUUGCUAGUGUUUUUGUUAUAUACAGGGGGUGGAGUUAGAGGGUAAGUUACGCAUUUAGUCGUAACUUUAGUCAAACUUCGUAAUAAUUUAGUAAGUUAAAAUAUAUUAGAAAUUUUCAGAAUUCAUAAACUUUAAAUUUUAAAUUUUGACUUCGCUUUGUGUGACUAUACAAUUACAGAAAUUCAGAGUGGCCAUUGUUGAAAGAGAGGGUGGAAUUUGUGUAAGUUUUGUUUCCUUUCAGUUCUUGAUAUAUAAAGUUGCAAUCUUUAACAUUCUUUGUUCACUUUCUAUAGGUUUGCUAGGUUCGGUUAAAUUCAGUAGCUUUAGUUUAAACCCUAUGCGGAAUAGAGAAUGUGUAAACUUUAAACUUCAAAUUUUGGCUCCGCAUACGACUAGCGACUAUAUAAUAAUAGGAAUUGAGCACUUGGCUUUUGUAUAUAGCUUCUAUGUGUACCAAAAUUAGAAAAUCAGGCGAUUAUUAUAAUCUUGUUGACUAAAUAUAGAAUGCAUCCAUUACCCCCAAAAAGUGUGAUUCCACUGUCAUAGGAGGUUUUUUUUAUUUCAUUUUAUUUGUGCUUUCAAUAAUGUAGAGUAGUUUUACAAAGAUCCUUUCUUUGUGACACAUGGUAGGUAAUAUUGCUGAUUUUGUUGUAGUUUUGGGGUUAUAAAGUUUCAAAUUAUUUAUACUGGAGGGUAGGGGUGGGGGUUGUCUAUAAUGCAGGUUAUGGUUUUACGUGAACUCAAUAAUUAUUGUAGAUACUAAGAAAUCCACUCAGUGUUCUUGCGGUGUCUUGCUUUUGAUUUCAGCAUCACUUGUAGUUGAUUGUGUUUAGAUUAUCACAUUAUUCUGUGGCUGUAACUGUAUCCUUGUUAGUUGCUUUGUUUCUACACUGUUGUUUUCCCUCUUUUAUACCUAUUUUGAUAUGUUGUACUCGAACGAGGGUCAUCGGGGAACAACCUCUUUACCUCCGUGAGGUAGAGCUAUGGUCUGUGUCCACUCUACCCUCCCCAGAUCCCUCUUGUAGGAUUUCACUAUAUUGUAAUAUUAACUUGAGGUCACUAUAGGAGCUCAAAAACUUCUAAUUUUGAAUCAAUGUCUGGUUAUACUUUUUUUGUCAUAACUGUAUCUCAAAUGUGGUGUUUGGUUUAUCUCAUUUUGCAGAAGUCAAGAAACAGGUUACUCCUGUUUGAGUGAGGAAAAGUUGGUUUGCCUGUCUGUGGUCUUUUUAUAAUCUUUUUCUACAGAAGAGAAAGUGGGUAAUUUUGUUUGAGAGUGGAAAUAUUCUCUAGUGGGAAUCUACUAGGAGUAAUUUAUUUUCUAUAAACUAAGUAAAGUUUGGAAGGUGACAAAAAGAAAGACAAAAAUCUUGGAAUUGUUUUAGACAACCAAGGUUUUCUUGCUCAGAAUGUCUGUUGCCUUGUUAUGGGUUGUUUCUCCUUGUGACGUCUCAAAUGGGACAAGUUUCAUGGAAUCAGUCCGGGAGGGAAACCGUUUUUUUGAUUCAUCGAGGCAUAGGAAUUUGGUGUCCAAUGAGAGAAUCAAUAGAGGUGGUGGAAAGCAAACUAAUAAUGGACGGAAAUUUUCUGUACGGUCUGCUAUUUUGGCUACUCCAUCUGGAGAACGGACGAUGACAUCGGAACAGAUGGUCUAUGAUGUGGUUUUGAGGCAGGCAGCCUUGGUGAAGAGGCAACUGAGAUCUACCAAUGAGUUAGAAGUGAAGCCGGAUAUACCUAUUCCGGGGAAUUUGGGCUUGUUGAGUGAAGCAUAUGAUAGGUGUGGUGAAGUAUGUGCAGAGUAUGCAAAGACGUUUAACUUAGGUUAGCUUCUUCAAUCUAUUCAUUCGUUUACCAAAUAUUAUUUGGUAAGCACUAAUUAUGAAUAUAUAUAUGUUCAUGUUAUUGAUGAAGACAAAAUUUGAUCUUUGUUUGUUUAUUCAGGAACUAUGCUAAUGACUCCCGAGAGAAGAAGGGCUAUCUGGGCAAUAUAUGGUGAGGUUUCUAGCCAUUUAAUAACAGUUACGCGCACAAACACAUAUGAUUAAUCGGGGACGAGAAAAAAAGAAAUGAAGUUUGAGUUUUGAGGGUCAUAUGUAAUAGGUAAAUCCGAGCUUGACUAGCUUGAGAUGUUUAUUGUCAUAUCAUGCUCAAUACUAACCAAAACACUGAAAAAGAACUUGAUUAUAUUUACAUACUAAUAUUUUCAUUUGCGUUGCUGUUCACAUUUUUACCUAUGGAACUGGUUUUUGUGAUUUGUUAUACUUCAUAUUCGAUGUUAAUAAAAUAUAUCAUUCCUCCCUUUUUCUCCACUUCAAGCUUUACUGUAGUGUUGAAAGGGGAAACUCCUUUUAAUGAUUGCAUAUAUAAACGAACUUCUUGAGUUGAAUAGUUUCUCAUUAUGAUCUGUUUAAACAGUAUGGUGCAGAAGAACAGAUGAACUUGUUGAUGGCCCAAACGCAUCAUAUAUUACCCCGGCAGCCUUAGAUAGGUGGGAAAAUAGGCUAGAAGAUGUUUUCAAUGGGCGGCCAUUUGACAUGCUCGAUGGUGCUUUGUCCGAUACAGUUUCUAACUUUCCAGUUGAUAUUCAGGUUAGUCUACCAAUUCUAUGGUCUUUAUAUUUGUUCAAUUUGCGUUUGAUGUCACUUUUGCUGAGGGCUUUUCUAAUAGCUUACUUCAGCCUAGCGGAAAUGUUUGUAGUUGAAUCUCUAGUUCUGUCUCCUAUAUCUGUUUCUCUCGUCCUAGAUACUACACAUACUUCAUUUCUGUUUUAACAUUUUAUUCGUCUUUUGGUGUUGUUUUGUAUGUGAAUCAUAUAUUUGGAACAGAAUCAUUAUUAGUUCACAUGAUUUCAUUUGCUUUCUUCAAUAGCGUAAUUGUCUAACCUUCCAAUAUAUGUUGCAGCCAUUCAGAGAUAUGAUUGAAGGAAUGCGUAUGGACUUGAGAAAAUCGAGAUACAAAAACUUCGACGAACUAUACCUUUAUUGUUAUUAUGUUGCUGGUACGGUUGGGUUGAUGAGUGUUCCAAUUAUGGGUAUCGCCCCUGAAUCAAAGGCAACAACAGAGAGCGUAUAUAAUGCUGCUUUGGCUCUGGGGAUCGCAAAUCAAUUAACUAACAUACUCAGAGAUGUUGGAGAAGAGUAAGUACAAAGCUGUGUUUUACGCACAUAAUUUUUUUUGCUAAUAUUUACAUAUCAAAAUAUAGGAAAAUGAGCUCUUCGGUUAUCCGGUUUAUAUUUUUUUUAUGUCAACAUAAUAGUAUAAAGUAAUUAGUAUCAGUCGUUCUGGGAAUAAAAUUGCAGAACUCAAUUUAGCCGUGUUGUGAAAUCCUGCUUGUUUUGAGAGCUUAAAGCUCAUUAGUUAGUCGUUAGAGACGAAGAAAUUCUUCGUUGUCCAUCUUUAUUCCACCUUAAAGUUGUGAUAUUUUCAUUAUUGGUACAUUUGGCAAAAACACCUGAACAAAUUUAUGACGGAUGCCUUUUGAAAGUCACUAUACCUGUCUAGUCGGCGUUUAUCACAUUUCUUUGACAUAUUGAACUUUGAAACAUGAUAUCAGCUCUAGACAGUGACGAGCCAUGAUCAAUUUCUUUCCUUUAUUCUUUCUUUGGAAGUGCCGUAUUUAGGCUUCCGUUGUUCUUAUAUAUUGCUUUCCCUGCAGUGCCAGAAGAGGAAGAGUCUACUUGCCUCAAGAUGAAUUAGCACAGGCAGGUCUAUCCGAUGAAGAUAUAUUUGCUGGAAGGGUGACCGAUAAAUGGAGAAUCUUUAUGAAGAAACAAAUACAUAGGGCAAGAAAGUUCUUUGAUGAGGCAGAGAAAGGCGUGACAGAAUUGAGCUCAGCUAGUAGAUUCCCUGUAAGCAUUCGUAAACUCUUUAGUUUUAUGAAAUGAUUCUUUUUUCGCGUUAUUAGAUGAAUAUGGUUGCUUGUGUUGAGUAUUUCUAGGUCGAUGAAGUUGAGACAAGGGUUUUUAAGUUUUAACGACUUUUACGGGGUGCCAUGUUAUCUGCUACCUAAUCUUAGGUAGUUGACCGGAAGGGCUAGAAUUUUAACCUCAUGUUCACCCUACCAACCAAGAAAUGAACCUCGCAUAGAGCUCGUAGUUAUGAAUAUUUGCUUUGGCAUGACAUUGUGCGGAUCAUGAAAUGUCUUAGAUUAUAUGGAAAAAUCAUUCUAUUACAUCGAAUAGAUACAUUAGAUCUAAGAAGCACGCCGUGUUGUAAAUGAGAAAUUCUAUAGCUCAGAUCUUUAGUUUUCUCUGAACGACCUACAAACCAACGGAUAACCUUGUAUUGAGCUUGUCGUUCUCAGUAUUUGCACUAACAUUACGUCGUGUGGAUCCUGAAAUGGCUUGGAUUGCUAUUAUUCUGGAUAUGGCAAAACCAUUUUAUUAGUACUAGAUAUCGAAUAACUACAUUUGACCCUACAAGUACCCUGGGUUGGAGUUACAAUAUCCCAUACCUCGUAUCUUUAGUGUUCUCUUAUUUAUCACCUUUGUCUACUAUUCUGGCAAAAUAACCUCACUCGUUACUCGGUGUUUUCCAGGUAUGGGCAUCUUUGGUCUUGUACCGCAAAAUACUAGAUGAGAUUGAAGCCAAUGACUACAACAACUUCACAAAGAGAGCAUAUGUGAGCAAAUCAAAGAAGUUGAUUGCAUUACCUAUUGCAUAUGCAAAAUCUCUUGUGCCUCCUACAAAAACUGCCUCUCUUCAAAGAUAAAGCAUGAAAUGAAGAUAUAUAUAUAUAUAUAUAUAGCAAUAUACAUUAGAAGAAAAAAAGGAAGAAGAAAUGUUGUUGUAUUGAUAUAAAUGUAUAUCAUAAAUAUUAGGUUGUAGUAACAUUCAAUAUAAUUAUCUCUUGUAGUUGUUGUAUCUUCACUUUAUCUCAACUCCUUUGAGAGAACUUUCCGUAGUUAUCUGCUUUGCACUUGGUUACUCAGAAUUUUACUGUGGGCAUGAUAAUUGAUAUACCAAAUUCAGUUUUGAUUCUAUCGAAAAAUUUGUUAUUACAUUUUUUUGGGGGGAAAGGAAUUAUCUCAGAUAUGACGAUUUUACAUUUCAAUUUUCUAAAGUUGUUAUCCAAAUUCGAUUCAAUCCAUACACCAAUAUCCAACAAGAGAGUUAAGAGACACAUUGGUCUAGCCAUCUAUACGCAGAUUAUUGAGUAGUAUUUUUUAACAGUGCAAACAUAAUUCGGUUUUUUUGUCGAUUCGGUUUGUAGAAGGGAAAAAUCACAAUAUUUUAUAGUUGAAUUUGUAAUCUAAAUUCGAGUUGUAUGAUACAAGUUGCUUCGAAUCGAUCUUGAUACAUAUUUCUACCUAUCUUAAUAGUCUUUUCACCUUUUUAAAACUUUAUAUCAACAAAAUUAGACAUAUAAAUUGUAACGCAACAUACUUUAUUAAGUAUUGGUGGUUUGGGCCAAAACAAACAAGAUCAUUUAAGGUAUGAGCAACUCUAUCUUGUAUAUUUAUUUACGGAUUAUGAUUUUAUUUUAAGAAAACUUAAUAAAAAUAUUAUUCAAUUACUUUUUUUUAUAUAUGUAUACACACACCUGGGCAUCAAGGAGGAACGUAACAUACAAUAUUUCAAUGAAAAUACUGGUCGAAUAUUGUUUCAUAUUAUCAUAUUGUAUAAAUAUCAAUAGAAGAUAUAAUAUUAUUCAGAUGUGGUAUCAAGGAUAAAGAAGUAGUGAUUCAAUGAAUAGAUCAAAAGGACAACAGUAAAACAAAUAGUUUGGGCCGUAGGCUCAAUCAAAACAAAUAAAUUAAGUUAAGUUCAAUUUGAAUAAAUACUUUACGUAAUAAAUCUAAUUUAUAUAAGUUUUAAAAAAUAAUCUCAUAAAAUAUUUCGUGAUUAUUAUUCUUAUCCACGAACCCAAAAAAACCCUAACCAAUGGAUGAGUCGAUGGGGGCCAAGUAUGUUUGCUAGUCCACCAACAUAGGACUUACUUCAUUAGGUGUGAAACCGACAUUAAUUUGACCAAAAACUAGGUGGGAAAGUUUUUUUUUUCUUAUUUAUUUAUGGUAAGAAAAAUAAAAGGGAAAGUUACCUUUCACAUCGAAAAUAUGUGCUCUAUAUUUAUUUGAAAUAAUGAUUUUUUUUAAAAAAAAUACAUUUUAUCUAUGGCACUCUAUUUUAUUCAAAAUUGUAUUGAUUCGCUUUUCCUAAAAUUUCAUAAAAAUAGUAAAUGUGUAUAAUAUAUUGGUUCUAUGGAUUUUUGUAAGGGUUUUGUCUGAUUUUCUUGUUUAUUUUUUUAAGAAAGAAAAAUAAAAUAUUAUCAUAAAUGUUUUGAUUUUUUUUAAAAUAAAGUAUUUUUUUAUUUCAUAUUUGAUUUAUUCCUUUCUUAGAGGAAAUAUUUGAAAUUUUAUAAAUUGUAGACCUAUCUUCUCAUGCCAAAAAAUACAAUAAUAACCGUUUAUUAAAGAGUUUUGUUUAUGAGAGAUUAUUCUCCCAAUAUUUUAUGCUAUUUAUAUUAGUUUUCACAUGACGUCAUGAUUACUUUUGUAGCCAACAUGUUGUUCGAUUCGAAAGUGAUUAGGGCGUCACGGGAAAGUUUACCAUUGCAAAGCAUAUGGUUGUUGACAAUAAAAAUAUGUACGAAAAUAUAUUAUUAAUAUGAUUUUGUCAAGAGACUUACAUAAUAUUUAAAAUCAUAAACUCUAUUGGAAGAAUAAUCUCCUCAUAAAUAAAAUUUUGAACGUCUACCCCGUGGAUGCUAUUAUAUAAUUCUAUGAAAAUACAAAAUAUUCCGACUUUUCUCUAUAGAAAAAAUAACCAAAAUGUGAAAGUGAUUUAUUUUUUUCUUUCCGAAAAAAGUAAAAUAAAUUAUAGUAAUGCUUUAACUUUUCUAUAAAGAAAAAAUAAUAAAAAUAUGAAAAGAAAAUCGUGUAAAAUGCUAACAAAGUAUGAUCCAUAAUAUUUGGGUGGUUAAAAUUUAAAGAAUAUUGAGAGCAUAAGUAAAAGUCAAGUCAAAUGGUGAAGAAAAACAAAAAAAAUCCCAAAAAGGUAGUCUUCGAAAUGACUGAAAUGGCUGCUGUCUUUUUUUAAAAAAAAUUUAUCGCGAUAUAUCUAUAUAUAAAGAAAAUAAUGAUGAUAUAACUAUUUUAUCAUACUUUUUACAUUAGAUUUUAAAAAUAAUUUGGCGAAUAAGUAAUUAAUGAAUGAUAAAAUAGCAACUAGCAAAUCAAUAGAACAAGGGUUCGCUCCACCGUAGAUCUACAAAUAAAAUAAGUAGAUCCAUUACCAGUCGACUCCUGAUCGAAAAGACCUAACGAACUAAUUCCUUAUUUAGAAUCAUAGAUGCUAAUGGGGCAGGAAAUAAAUAUAAAAAAUAAUAUUAAUUAUAUCUUCUUGAUAUGUUAAAAAUAACAAAUAAAACUAAAAAUCUAUGUUUAAAUAAUGAAUAGGUAAAAUUGAAUACAAAAAUAUUAAUUAAAAUUUAUAUAUAGUAUCAAAUAAAUCGAAAAAAAGCAUAACUUUCAAAAAUUCUAUAUCGAAUCAAAGCGUAAAUAAUAGUGGAUGAAAUGUAGAAUUUCGUGAAAAACUAUAUUUUAUAUUCGACGAUAAAAUUACUUUAAUGUAUAUAUAGAGUAUAUAUUAAAUUCCUUUAACUUCUUCAUAUUUUAAAUUUUGUUAAUGAAAAUUUUGACUAUGCUAUCAUACGUGGAUCGAAAUAUAGGCACAAGCACACUUCUCACAUUAUACACGUAUAUAUGGUCAUCGAUUUGUUCUAAUUUAAUUUGGUAUAAGCUGAAAAAUUUACAACAAUUUUUUCUCCCUUCUUAGAAAAGUUUUAGUAAUGCAUUUUAUCAAAAAUAAAUUAGCAUGUGAUUGUGAUAAAUAUUAUUUCAACGUGUUUUACGUUACUUGAACAUGCUUUUUUCUCAAUUUAUAUAAAAAAGAAAGACCGUUGAAAGAAAAAAAAAAUUAGUUUUUGGGGAUUUCUAAUUUGGUCAAAAAGAAAAACGUGAAAUAUGAAAAUUUAUCGGCUUGAGUUAUAGUAAAUUAACUUCCAAUAUAUAUAUAUAUAUAUAUAUAUAUAUAUAUAUAUAUAUAUAUAUAUAUAUGGCUUAACUACCAAAUGAAGAAAAAAAAAUUUAUGUUCUUCGAGAAAAUGUUUGGAUGUUGAUAAUACAGACGUAUAAGAAAAGAUUUUGACUCUAGGUAUGCUUGUAAAAAAGAAUUAUUCGAUUAUCGAUUUGAUUUUGAUAUUUAAUGUUAGACUACUAGGUAGAUCGAUAAUUGAUUAAAUUGAUAGUAGUGUACUACUUUAUCCCUAUAUAAAUCUUAAAUAUUAACUUCAGAACUUUACCAGUUACUAUCAUUUUUUUUACGGUUCAAUUCAUACUUUAUAAUAAUUUUGAAUUCACAAUUUUAUACCAUACAACAUGUCAAAAUCAAAAGUAAGAGCAUCAUUCCUCUUAAGUUUUCUUUGUCUUGUACUUUAUAGUGUUUUCAUCCUAGUUGUCAUUGUUUUCAUUUGACGAGCGAUCUGUAGAGUUACAUUAUUGUCUUAUCGCGUCAAAUUAUUGGAGAAGUCAUAUAUUUGAAUUAUAAGUAUUUUCUUAUUGAUUAAACCGAAAACGAAUUAAAAGUCAAAUUCAAUAAAUCAAAAAUCGAUAAAGUGUUUUAUUAAUUUAACAUAUUUAAAAAUAAAAAAUCGAUAAAUCAUAUUAAUAAUAUACAAAACCGAGCCGAAAUGACCUACAUACGCCCUAUGUUUGAAUAUUUAUGUACACAAACAAAUAAAAAAUUUUACGAUAAAUUAUUAGCAACAUCGCUAUAUUAUAUUUAGCAGCAAAUAAACAUAAAUAUUUAUAACCAACACUUCAUAUAAAUAAUAUUAAAUUUUCUUUCCAAUAAAAUUCAAUUAUAUUAACUCAAUUACCGCUAAAAAUUUAAAUUUAAUUCAGCGAGGGAGAGUUUGGUUAGGGCAGCCCAGGAUGAAGUGGUAAGGUCAAAGCAGCCAAAAGUUAUUAAUAAUUAAUAAUUAAUAAUUCAAUUAAUUAUUACUCUCCAUUUUCAAGGGUCAGUGGUCUUAUUAGUUGGAAUUGAACUGUGAAAUAUGGUGGAAUUUACUAUUAUUAUUUCUUCCGUUUUAUUUUACAUGACACAUUAUUAUGAGAAUCAAUUAAAUUCUUUUUAUUACUCUUUUUAUAUAUAUCAUUUACCUAUUUAAAAUUGUUAACUAUUAUAAUUUACCAUCAAAAUUUAAAAAUUUAUAUCUCAAAAUUUAAUUAUGCCAUGUAAAUUACGACAUGACUAUACAUAGUCAUUGCAACUUCACUAUGAUUUCCACCUAAACAACCAUUUAGGGACCCAUAAUGGGCCACAUUAGUCUUGACUCCACACUUAGUUUUUUCACUAUAAAUUUUCCAUCUUAGUUUGCAUCUUUUGCAUACAAAUUCUAAGUUACCUCACUAUAUUUUCCUCUCCAACAAAUUUUAAUACCUUAUACUUCUUUUUAAAAAAAACACAACUUUUUACUUUAAUAAUCCUAUGGAUAAUUUACCAAAAUGUGGAGCAAAUUAUGUGUCUUUAACUCCUCUUACCUUCUUAACAAGAGCCUCAAAAUGUUAUGCCAAUAGGACCUCUAUCAUCUAUGGCAAUGUACGUUUCACAUGGAGCCAAACCUACGAGCGUUGUUGUCGCGUUGCUUCCUCUCUUCGAUCCCUUAACAUUGUCAAGAACGACGUUGUAAGUACAAAAUAUCAAUCAGUUAUAAUUUAAACGCGAUGAAUUUAUGUUAUGUAUAUGUUAAAUGUGUAAAAGACCAAACACUAUAUCGAUAUGUAGUUUAACAAUAUGUUAUGUCACAUUAGUUAGUUACAAAUACUUGUUAUAGAGAUUUACUUGUAAUAUAAAAAAAUGUCAUUCUUUUUACCGUAGACUAAUUAUAAAAAAAAUAUCAUGUUAGCUAAGAGCUAUUAUAUUUGACGAUAGAUUAACGACGUGUCUUUUUUGUAGGUUUCAGUGUUGGCACCAAAUGUUCCAGCAAUAUAUGAGAUGCAUUUUGCUGUGCCAAUGGCAGGGGCUGUAUUGAAUACAAUAAAUACAAGGCUAGAUGCUAAGAAUAUUGCAAUUAUUCUUAAACACUCUGAAGCCAAAGUAUUUUUUGUUGAUUAUGAGUACCUUGAAAUUGCUAAAAAGUCCCUUGAACUACUAUCAACAUCCAAAAUGACAAGAAUACCCCUCGUCGUUGUCAUCGAUGACAUCGACUCCCCUACCGGAAUCCAACUAGGUGAGCUCGAGUACGAGCAACUCGUACACCAAGGAAAUCCUAGUUACGUCCCCGAAGAAAUCACCGAUGAAUGGGAUCCUAUCAGCUUGAAUUAUACAUCAGGUAAUGUUGAAAACGUCUGAUCAUCUCAUCUAAGAAAUUUAAUUUAUUUAUAAAAUUGGUAAACCCCCCUCUAAUCUCAAUUUAUUAGCCUAUCCUAAAAAGAAUGACAACUUUUAUAUUUCAUAGAAUUUAGCUUAAAAUAUCCUAUUUUACCCUUAAUGAUUUAUGACCACAAAUAUAACUAACAUAAGUUUCAAAAGUGGUUCUUUUAUCCUUGGGGAAUACCGAAUACCAUCACAUGAGUUGAGACGAAAAGAAUAUAUAUUUUUAUUUAUUUAAUUAUGUUUUCAACAGGUACAACUUCGGAGCCUAAGGGGGUUGUGUAUAGUCAUAGAGGGGCAUUUUUGAGUACUUUGAGCCUAUUAUUAGGUUGGGAAAUGGGUACUGAGCCAGUGUACUUAUGGUCUUUACCAAUGUUUCAUUGCAAUGGAUGGACAUUCACAUGGGGUGUAGCAGCACGUGGUGGUACAAAUAUUUGUAUUAGAAACACAACUGCCAAAGAAAUGUACACAAACAUUGUGUUACAUAAUGUUACACACAUGUGUUGUGCACCUAUUGUUUUCAACAUCUUACUUGAAGCCAACUCACAUGAGUACUCCAAACCCUUAACCACACGUGUCCAAAUCCUCACGGGCGGCGCACCGCCGGCCGCACCUCUUCUUGAGAAAAUCGAGAAGCUCGGAUUCCACGUGGUCCAUGCUUACGGGCUCACAGAGGCAACCGGCCCGGCCCUCUUGUGCGAAUGGCAAGAUAAAUGGAACGAAUUACCUAGUGAAAAUCAAGCUAAGUUGAAAUCGAGACAAGGGGUUAGUAUACUAACCCUAGCCGAUGUCGACGUGAAAAAUAUCGAUAACAUGGUUAGCAUGCCACGUGACGGAAAAUCAAUCGGAGAAGUGUGCUUGCGUGGGAGCAGUAUUAUGAAAGGGUAUUAUAAGAACGAUAAAGCGAAUUACGAGGUCUUUAAAGAUGGUUGGUUUUUUACCGGUGAUGUUGGUGUAAUUCACCAAGAUGGAUAUUUGGAAAUUAAAGAUAGGAGUAAAGAUGUUAUAAUUUCUGGUGGAGAAAAUAUUAGUAGUAUUGAAGUUGAAAAUGUUAUAAUGAAACAUAAAAAUGUUGUAGAGGCAUCUGUUGUGGCUAUGCCACAUCCAAAAUGGGGUGAAAGUCCAUGUGCAUUUGUGAUUUUGACUAAAAACUCACAAAUUAAAGAAAUGGAUAUUAUUGGACAUUGUAGAUUAAAUUUACCAGGAUUUAUGGUACCAAAAAAGGUGAAAUUUGUUGAAGAAUUACCCAAGACUGGAACAGGAAAAGUGCAAAAAAAUCAUUUGAGAACAAUUGCUAAAACAUUUGUUGUUGUCACAGAGAAGUCAAAUCAUCAAAAAAGCAAAAAUAUUACAAGUCAAGUCAACAAAGAAAAGCCAAGAUAUUAUGAGCAAAUUCUUGCUUUGUCUCGUUUAUAAGAGCAACAACACAUUUAAUGUAAUUUCACAAAAUGAAAACUAAAGAGGAUCUCUAUCUUAAAGAUAGAUGAGAUAUUUCCGAACCGUAAGGGUUUAUUAUUAUAAAAAUCAAGUGUUUAAAUAGUAUUGUUGUACUUUUUUUUUGCUGCUGUGUUUUUUUUUUGUGUGUGUGUGUUUUACCAAAAAGUAAUUAAUUAAUCAUGUAACUUUUGGGGACAUCUUUAAUUGGAAUACUAGUGAUGAUUGUCUUGCUUACAUUAUCAAAUAUAUAUUUCAAUAAUUUUUUCAAUCUAAAUUUAUGUGACAAUUUAUACUUUUCGAUUAUUAAGAUUGAAAUCAGCCUAUGUUUAAUUAAUAUAAAAAGAGUAAAGAAUUAUUCAAUUCUAUUUUUGUAUUCCAAAAAUUACUAAACUUUCUUUAAAAGUGGGAUAACUUUUAACAAAAAUUAUAUAUUAUUAUAAGUGGGAAGCUCUAAAAGUGAAAACUUGAAUUACCAUUUUGACCUUAUACUAAAUUGAAAUUUGAUUAGUUAAUUUAAAUAUUAAAUUGUCUCAUUUUAAUAAUAAAAAUAUUAAUAACUUUUGCACUUCCUUAGAUUAAUUUCUAAUUAAAAUAUCUAAUUUAAUAAUACUUAUCAUUUAUUAUAUAUAUGUAUAUUUAAUUUAAUCUCCAUCAUAUCAUAUAAUCAUAAUAAUAAUAAAAAAUAAUAAUAAUAUACUAAACGUGGAAGGAAUAUUAGGCAAAAAUUAGAUUACAUUUUGUCCCUAUAUCAUAUAUAAAUAUUAAUCGUCUAAUAAAUUGCUAACUGAAUAUUAAAUAGUAAAUUUUAAUUACUACAAGGGAGGAUUACACAUUAAGCAAUAUCAAAUUUAUCAAAUUCUUCCGGUUACAAUUUAUUUAUGUUGAUGGUUAAUUAAUAUUAAAUUGUUAGAAACAAUUAUUAUCAAGAAGACAAAAAGACUUCUAAUGAUAUUGUUCAAUGAAUUAAAGGUAAAGACUAAAGGUUACAAAAUUAAUUAGGAAACUCAUAGGUCUCUUUUAUUUUUUUCCUUUCAUCUCCCUUCACCUAAAAUUUUCCUAUUUAAAGUCACCUAGAAAUGAAAAUUAACUUAUAAAUCUCAUCUGAUCUUCUGACUAAAGUAUGUUAAUAUGUCAAUUCUCUCUUAUAAAUUAAGAUCCAUUUUUUCAUUUUUGAUAUAUCAUCUCUUUUUUCCUUUUUAAUUUCCUUUCUGAUCAUAGUCAUAUACUGAUGAAGAAAAGUUGUCAUCAAUUGUUAAGGGCAAUAACAUUAUUGUUGUAUUCGGAUCGAAGAUAUUAUGAUUAAUUGAUUGAUUAAUUAUAAAGAAUGUUUAAAAGAAAAUAAUAUUUCUUUAUCACGUUAUAUGAAUUAUAACAAAAUAAUGAAUGUUUGUACUAUAUUAUGUAAAGUGAUUAUAGCUAUGACCAUUUGUAAGUUAUUUUCAUAAUUGUUUUAAAUGUUCUUUUAUAAUGUUUCUCUUCUUAUUCAUUUUAAGUUAAAUAUGUUCUCUAUUUAUAUAAAGAAGUUUAUGUUUAAAUAAUUAAAUAGAUGUUACUUAUUUAGACUUUAUAUAAUUAUUGGUGUAGAACAUGUACAAUACUAUAUUUCUUAUUUCCAAAUCAAAUUUAAAAUUGUCUCAAUGAUAUAUUAGAUAUUUUAUUAUAUGUCAAAUUAUUUGUGUUUUAAAUAGAUAAUUUGAAAUAUUUGACAAAUAUGUUGACUGAAUAUGCAUGCAUUUAUAAUUACUUCAUUAUCUCAUAAAUUAGUAUCUGUUUCAUGUACUUCUUAUCCCCCCUCUUUUCUUACUUUUAAAUACUCAUUUACAAUUCAAUAUAUGUAUCGAUUCGAAAGAUUUACUAACAUUAGCUUAUGAAUUACAUGAUGUUUACUUUUUUAUGUAUAUUUUAUUUUUGUAAGUUAUGACAUAUAGCAAAUCCAACAAUAUAUGUACUAUUUACAAAUUAUUGAUUGUAGUAUAAAAUUUAUAUUAAAUAGUUUAAAAUAAACGUGCAACGCACGUUCUGAAGACUAGAAUGAAGAAAAAGCGAUGGUCCAAUUUAGACAAGUCCAUCUGGCAUUUGAUGGGCUUGGGCAGCACCGGUCCGUAAUCCUUCCACUGCAAAGAGCGGGAGGUAAUCGUUGCUCUGUGAAGCCAGCCUGAUGCAGUCCCCUCCACUCUAGAAUCCAUGAAACCUAGGCCUUCGCCUAGGUCACAUGGGCCAACUCCUCGCUUGGAGAGGGCGGUCCAAUAUAAUAUUGGCCUAAACCCUACCAUUUGGACUAAUCCAAUGUUCCAUCACUUUAAAGCCCCCACUCAGGUUAUAAGUUCACGUUACUGAACUCGGCAUGCAAUCCUUAAACUCUCAACUUAAUAAAUUGCAUAUAUUUCUUUUCUUCAAGCGAUGUGGGAAUUAAUUAGAAUGAUUUUAUUAGUUCCUCAUAAUUAAAAUGACUUUACAACAAACAUUAUCUAAAAUUGAUCCGUGUAGGAUGUUUAAUUUUCUCUUUCUUAUUUAUAUGAUCUAAUUAAUUUUUGAAAUCACUAAAUUUUUUUUUAAAAAUAAAUUUAAUCAAAUUAUGAUUUUUCGUUAUUGGUUAAUCUCAUGUCUGAAGUUAGCUGACUUUCAAAUACGAAUAAGUAAUUUCAUUCCUGAUCUAUAAUUAUGUGAAAUCUUAUUUAAAAUAUGUAUAAAUUACAUGUCCAUGCUAUUGGUACAAUAUUAAAGACAUCAAAUACUGAUCACGUAUCCUUAUUUAAUUGAUACUUCUCCAAUCAAUACAUGUCCACCGUUAUGAACUUCAUGAUAUUGAAUCCAAGGUAAACAUAAAUAGCCAUCCACUCAACUGCUUAAACUUAAAAUAGUUGUUUAAGGUAUACGAUUCACGUAUAAUAUGUGUAUAACCUGUAUAUUGACUAAGAAAAUUAAACAAUUAAUCCGGCCAAAAUUUUGUAUAAUGAUCCAUAAAAUAUAUAAAAAGCAUGAGGUAUUGAGAUAUUUUUAAGCGAAUACAAGAUUAUACAUGAAUUUAGGUCACAAACUAAAUGACAAUUUGAGGCAUAUAGGAAUAAGCAUAUACAAAACAUUAAACACUAUAUAUAUAAAUACUACAAGAUCAAAAUCAUAAUAAACAAAAUAGUGGAAUACAUCGACAACCCCUUUAAAUUUGACACUAAACAAAGGUAGAUAUAGGAUUUUGAUAAAUUAUACAUACAUAUCAAGUAAAAAGAAGAAAAAAAACCAUCUUGGUGUAUUAAGCUCUUGCUAUAUGCAGAUUUUUGGAAAUGGAACGCAUCACAAAGGUCUAAUAUACACAACCUUACUCUGCAUUUCUGCAACAAGUUGUUUCCAUGAUUUAAUACCCCAACAUUCUGAGAUAUGAUAACAACUUUAUCAAUGACGCCAAGGCUCCCCUUCUAUACACUUAUUAAGUGGACCUCUUAAAUAUAAUUACGGGAUUCAAACCAAAUACAAGAUUCGUACAAAAAUUAAUGGUCAAGUACACUUCUCAACUAUUAGUUUUUCUCUUUUCCUAUCUGAACUAUCACUAAUCACCAUCUAUGUAUUAAAACAUACCUCAAAACUAACUAGGUCAACUAUCAGUUGUUAUCUUUCCUUAUCUGAACUAUAACCAUCUACUCAACAUCUUUAUGUUUUAAUUUUAAUACAUAGAUACUAACAGUUGAUCUAUGAAACUAUUAGUAUCUAUGUAAUAAAUUAUAAGUAUUUAAUUAUGAAUCUAGUUAUUAUUAAUAUAUUAGUCCAAUUGAUCAGUAAAAAUUUAUAAAUUUUAAAAUCUAAAUCUCACCGAGCAAAUUAAAGACCAAUAAAUAGUGGAUCUUGCCUUUGGGAAAUGUGCUUGAUGCAACUCCAAUUUUGGUAAGAUCCCAUGGAGUUACUAAUAAUAUAGAAUUUUGAUUGUAAUUGUAAGUGAUCAGCCAAUUCUUCAAUAUCACAUGCUUCACUCCUUUGGGUUCUUUUAUGGUUUGGGUCACUUUCCCCAUAUCCAGCUCUAUCAUAUUGAACUAAAUAUAUCCCCAUUAUUUUCAACAUUUCCUAAUCACAAUUUCAACAAACAAAUUAAAACAUUCUUAAAAUCCAUUAUAAUAUAAAAUGAGGGAAUACAAAUACAUAAACUUAUCAAACAUAAUUUUAUAUUAUACUAAGGUCCUAUUACUCCCUAAACUUAUUUUAUAAGUAAUUUUCUACCCCGUUUUGGCCUACGUGACACUAGCUUGAAAAAAUAAAGUCAACCAAGGUUGGUCCCGCAAGAUAGUGCCACGUAGGCCUAAAAAAGGUAGAAAAUUAUUAAUAAAAUAAGUUCAGAAGGUAAUAGGACCUUUGUAUAGUAUAAGCGUGUCUCUAAAAUUCGAACAUAAAUACUUGUGCAUUAUCCCAUAUAACUAAGAUGGAGGACUUAGUAUAAAUACUUGAACUAAAUAUAUCCCCAUUUUUUUCAACAUUUCCUGUUCACAAUUUCAACGAACAAAUUAAAACAUUCUUAAAAUCCAUUAUAAUAUAAAACCUUUAACGUUUUUAAUAGUAAGCUCGUAUAUUUUUAACGUUAUUGAGUUUAGAUGUACUCGAUAAAAUAAAGUCAUAUCCCCUUCCCCCGGUUCCAACGUGCAUACUAAUUAUUGUAAUGUUAGUGAAUUUGUACACAUGUUUAUACUCCACGUCGAAAGAUUAAAAUGAACCUGAUGUUAUAAGGCUGUUGUCAAAAAAAUAUUUUUCGCUCUGCGCACUACACGCUAUAAAGUAUAGUAUGGAGGAGAUAUAGCAACCUGGGGUGCAAGAAAAUCAAUAUCUUUGGAGCCAUGAACAAAGAUUAUUCUAUAAUUGGAUUUCUCCUUAGUAACACCUCUCUCUUUGUCUCAAUUUUUAACAUAUAAUAUUAAAUUAAUCCCCUUGUCCUAAUUGAGUAAAGUAGUUCAUUUUCUGAUACAGAAAAACAUUUUGUUUACAUAAGAUCGACUACUUUCGUUGACUUCUUCAUAGAUUAAUGGCUUAAUAAUGUGAAAAAUGCAUAACUAUCUCCUCAAUUGAAAAAAUUAAAUUAAAGAAUUACCAAAACAUGUUCAAUGAAUUUCUUAAUGAAAAUACAUAAUAAGCUGGACUAAAGUUACUACUUCAGAUGAAUCUGUAAAAUAUACACUUUGAAAGAAAUUAGCAGCAUUGGACAGACAUUAAUUGUGUAACAGUAAAAGACUUCCAAGGAAAUAAUCCAAACAAACAAACAUACUUCUCAUUGAAAUCAACAAUGGCAGCCUGAUGCUACAACUUCAUUCAUAUCAUUACAGAAAUUCAAUCGAAUGACGAUGAAUCAGAGCACAUUACUUGUUAAGCAAGGGGAAAAAAGGGAAACUAAACAACGUUCAAGAUGAAUCGGAGCACAUUACCUGUUAAGCAGAGGGGAAAAAAAGGGAAACUAAACCUAGUUAUGAUUUUGUUGGAAGAUGAUCGAUCACAUCCUGGAAAUCUUGAGAGGAACAAUGGAUUUGAGAAUUUCUUCCCUGGAGGAAACAAGUUGAACACUUCCAAGUCUCUUAAUGAGAUGCUGGCAGCAAUCUUCAGCAGCUAUGAUUCCAGCUGAAUAUGCACCGUGCACAGACCCUUGAUGGUCAUCCAUACACACAGCUUCGCCACCAAAGAAUAGAUUACCUAAAGGUGCUCGAAGCUUAUCAUAUAUAUCUGUUGGCUUUCCAACCAGAUCAUAUGAAUAGCAUCCUAGGGAAUCCGGAUCUGUUCCCCAGCGUGAUACGAGAUACUGAACCUGCAAAUAGUAUCAACAUAUAUAGCUAUCAGCUCAAUGGUUAUUACACAUGCUUUCCUUAUUUCACUUCCAAAUAAUCUAUUAGUUACUAACAAUAUAUGUUGAUCAGACUCUUUAAAGAUGUCGUAGUGCAUUUGUGGCGAAUCCGACAUGUGUGUUGCGACACAUUGGGUGAGUCCAAGCAGCAUAGUUAAAUAAUGCAUGCAUCAGUAAUAACUGUAAUAGAAUUAUGUAGGACCAGGUAUUACUCACAGGUUCAGGUGCAUCAGGAAACAUUUUUUUCAGCUGACGCAUAACAAAAUUAGCCGCCUCUUUGUCUGAUAAUUUCUCUACGUCAUAAGCAAGUCUUCCGGCAGCCAUAUAGACAAGGACUUGAUGCCCUGUUGCCUUGUGGAGGUUAAGAAAAUACCCACAAGCAUAAGAGGUAGGUGCAACAAUGCCUAACAAUUCAACGUUUGGCCAAAAUACAGUAUCAAAUCGUAAUGCAAUCUUGUUUUCGUUGCCCACACCAAGAUCUGCUAUUGCAGAAAGCUUCCAAUCUGGCAAUUCGGGUUUGAACUCAAUUAAGUUGGCUUUGAGGACCCCAAUAGGUACAGUUAUUAUAGCAGCAUCCGCAACAAAAUUCCUCCCAUCCUCAAGUGUAACCAUCACUUUGUUAUACCCAUCCGUAAUCGCCUUCACUCUAGUAAUUCAGAUCGAUGGAAAAUUAGAAUUGCAGACAAGCAUGGAGGCUAAAGUAUAGGUAAAUCAAGAUAAGAAAUUACUUGGAAAAAAUUCAACUCUGAUGCAGACAGGUAAUCCAUCAUAGAUUAUGAAGUGAUUGAAAUGAAGGUAAAAUACAAAUAAGAAAGCAUUAUUUCCAGCAGAUGAAACCCUUCUGGGGCAUUUUCUCCCAUUAUUUCAGUGGCCUGCCCUUUUUCAGGCAUGGGGAUUAGGAGAGAGGAGAGAUGUCUAUGCCUGGAAGUGGUGUGACUUAAAAAGAAAAUGGAAUCACUGUGGAGGAAAUGAAUUGCAUUUUGUUUCUUAACUUUCCUAUAGAAAAUCUUGUGACAAGAAGAUUCAAUCGAAGUCCACAAGUUGGUCCGUCUAUCGUAAGUGCAGCAUUAGUUUUCAGAUCCUAAAGUGAAAAAGCCAACAGCGUAACAAGCUAAAGAAACAACAAACAAGAUGUCAAACUUCACAUUUCACAGAAAACCCCAAACAUACCUGUGAUUCAAACGAAUAUCAAUAUCUUUUGACAAUGCCUCAAUCACCGGGUGAUAACCCUGCACCAUUAGUCCAUGGCCACCCGUAAGAACUUGCUCCUGCACACAAAGUAAACAACAUUAAUAUUACAUAUUUAGGAAACUACUCAUUAAACAUAUCCUAAUGGCGAUAAUUUAAAGCAUCUAAUGUAAAAUGGAACGCCAAAAUUUCCUAUCUGGAAGUAUGUAGAUAUCUGAAAAUGAUAGCUAUAAUAACACGAAUUGUGCCUUUAACUUCUGACAUACUUGAUAGUUUUCUUACUUAUAGCAUUACUGAACCAGGCAGUUAGAGCCUUGCCAUUCGGAUGAGGAAUAUUGUCUUUGGGGAUUGGGAAUAGUAAUAAAAUCUUUUAAAUGCACAUACUUUUUAAAGAGAUGCACAUAAAAUUACUCUUUUAGAAAAAACUUAGAAUAACAAGUAAAAGAACUUGCCUGAUCCCAAGUUUUCAAGGAGAUCGUGUCUGCAUCGGCAGAAAACCAUGCCUCCAUUCUGCAUAUGUACCACUGCAGUACUUCAUGAGAGACUCCUUCUUGCCUGCCGCAACAUGUAAGAUCAGUGGAUGUAACUAGAUUACACAUUUAAAAGAAACAAACAUAAGUUGGUUAUAAGAGAAGAACUUUUUCGCAUACCUCAGCUCAGGAUGCCUGUCCAGUACAAUAGAUAUUGCUUGAAGAACCGAUAUGUCAUUACUAUUCUCAUUUCUCACUUUCUCAGUCUGCAUUUGCCAAUACACAUAAUUAUUCACUUGCGUCUUUAUAAAACCUCAAAAGGUAUGGCACUUGGUGUUAAAUAAAUACAGAGCAAAGCCAACCUCAUCGAGGAUUUUCUUGAAUACAUCUCCUACUUCAGCAACUAUUUUAUGAGGAACUUGAUGGCCAUCCAUGUCAAACAGCAUGCAGCUUUAAAAAGAAAGAAAACAUAAGCAAGAUCCUGAAUGAUGAAAUAACAUCUCUAGUUAAUUUACACAAAACAAAAAGAAUAUGAGCUAAAAUCUAGCAGAUACAGCAUGCUUCAAUAUGAGCGCACUGAGAAAACAAAAAGAACAGAGGCAACAAUUCUUGACGAACUAUAAGUGUGCUUUAUUUUUCAUUAUGAAUCAGAUUACAAUACACUGCAAGAUACUUUCCUGCAGAAAAACUACUGAGACAACUUAAGAACAAGCUAGCAGAUUUUUGCCCCGAAUUUUCGGUGGCUACAUCAGAAUGGAAACAGACCAUGACUUAGAAAUCUGAAACCAAAAAUCUGAAGUGUAACUAAGAUAGCCACCCCCUCCAUUUAGACAGAUAGAGAGCGAGACAGGGUGUUUUAACAAAAGGAAGCAUGUCCAGUAAACAUGAUAAAAUCAUUUUGAAAUUAAAUGUGAAAAACCCAAUUUACCUUUCCAAAUCAUGGUCAUACAGAACUGAGUCAUCACCACUAGUUCGAUACAGUGUGAGCCCCAGCCGACGUAUCAAUGGAGCUAAAGGAUUUUCAUUGCACACUCCAUGGAGCCUGAGAUGCAAUUUGAAGAACAUGAAUAAGCAUCCAGUUCUGGAUGAAUUAGAAAGGAAAAGGUUAGUGUUACUCACCAUGAAGCUCCCAUAUCAACUGGACAACCAAACGAGUUGUCAGUGUGUAUGCGACCACCAAGUCUAUCUCGUGACUCCAGUAAGAGCACCUGGAUAAAAAUAGACCAGCUUAUUAGCAAGAAAAAAAUAGCAUAAAAGUCACUACAUGUGAAAGGGGUUUAAAGUCAUGAGUGACCUCACCUUGAAAUAAGCAUUGUGAAGGAAACAUGCAGCAGCUACCCCUGAGAUACCUCCACCAAUUACAAUGACCGACGGAGAUGAACCAUGUCGCCUCCCUAAGCAAGGUAGUAAAGUGCCUAGUUAACCAAUAGUUUCAUGGCCAUAAUAUAUAUGUGUGUGUGUGUGUGAAUAACAUAUUUCUGUUAUUUCCAAGAAUUCAUAGAUGCAAUAUGUUUCCAAUAAAGCAUGUCAAAACCAAUGGCACAACUUGUAAACAAAUAAUUCGUAGAACAGGUGCUAAGCUUAUAACAUUUUUUUGAUAUCAGACAAAGUCCCCUGUUUGGUUAACUGGUCAACCAUAGUUGGGUAUAAGUUGAAACUCAGAAUAUAAACACACCAUUCUACUCCUCUCCCCUUAAACACCAAGAUUUUUUCAUCGUCAGGGCUCACACUACUAAUGUUUGCCUUCCACAUUACCUAUGUUCUAGGGGUAUCGAAAGCUUAUAAUAUAAGAGAGUAUUGUUCCUAAAAAGACAAAUCACUUGAUUCCCCUCAAUUAUUCAUAUUAUUAAAUGAUAUGAGCACGUAAAUGAACUAUGAAAGGAUCCUUCGCUUAUUCAAUCCACAUUUUGCCCAAUCAUAAAAAUCAUAGCUCUGAGUUAAACAAAUAUAAGCCCACACACAUAACCCAAGCUAACAACCUUACCGCUUUUCAUCUAUUAUUUCAGUAAAAUCAUAGCAAUCCCAGUAAUCAGUCACAGUUAAACGGAUAGAGUAAUUUCCCAAAACACAAACACAUUACUCCAUCCAUCCCAAUUUAUGUAGCACUUAACAAUUUUGACUCAUCUUUGAAACUAAAUUGGACUAAUAAGUAACAAUUCUUUUCAUGGACAGAUGCAGACCCAAGAUUCGAAAACAACAAGAUCACCACCAAAGGCAAAUGCACGUUAGAAAAAGGAACCAUCUCGUUGAUAUUCUAAUGUCUAAAUAUAAAUUAAAUCAUCUAGUUGAAUGAAGCUCGCAUUGUCAACCAUUUGUUUCAACACCACUUUACAAUCACAAGUUUGAUCUGCACCAUAUUUGCAUAUAAAUCAUAAACACUUUACUCAAGGUUGAUAACACAUUAUACAUAACAAGGAUGUAUUUCCAUAAUAAUCAAGAGAAAAGUACAUGAACAAGAAUUCGAUACAAUUAACAAACUAACCAGAAUCAUUCCCUUUGAGCUCCAUGAUUCAACAAUGGUUCGUAAGAAAUCAAUCAAGAAUAGAAAAGGGUGUGUGGAGAAUGUUGUUAAGGGUGUAUAGGAAGCAAGAAAUUGGAAAGAAUGAUAAAGCAUGAAGAGAAGAAGGCCAGCAAUGAUGCGGCUUAAAUUGUAACAACACUGUAACUGAUCAAAUCCACUCAUAAUCAUAAAAUCCUCUAAUAAACAAAUCGUUCGAUCACAAAUUUCGUUUUUUCUUUUCUUUGAGGCAAUUCGUCGAACAGUUGUUAGGCAACGGCAAAUGAGUGUUUUCAUAUAUAAUGAAUGAAGAAUAAUAACAGUUUUAACAAGAAGCUAAAGCCAACCGUUUUUUCAUGAUAUUGUGUUUGGUCAGGGUUAUUUUUGUCAUUUUUUUUUAUUUUUGGUGGUACCAUCUCAUAUUUUAUAUUCUCCAAUUCAUAUUAGUUGUUCAUUAUUUUUAGGUAAAAUAUAUAAACGUGUAACUUUGAUAUUUAUGUCAUUCAACUUUCGACGUGUACAAACCGAGAAAAGGAUUAAAAUAGUCCAUCUUCUUUAGGUUAAAGCUUAAAGUGAUCCUUCAGUUUUCAAAUGGAGUACAAAUAGUCUCUUAUGUUUGCAAUAUUAGCAUUGAUUUUAUUCAUAACCUAUGUAUGGGGUGUGCAAUCGUCAUUUUUUAUAUUAGUAGAAAUAAAAACUUCAUAUGAAAGAAUGUUAAGAAGAAAAAGACUUUGUUUUGUUUAGUAGAAAUCGUAUUGCAGGUAAAGUCGAGAGGUUCAUUACGAUAAUUUCACGUGCAAUAGUACAAUUUUUUCUUUUCCUGCAAAGUCAUAUGUUAAGAUGUUCUUAAUUUAGCUGCAGUAAUAUUUCUAGUAAAUAGAACAAAGUAUUUUUCUUAUCACCUUUUCCCAAACAGAGUUUUUUUAUUUCUACUAAAUAUAUAAAAAGACGAUUGAACCUUCCUUAUAUAAAAUUCUGGACAAAAUUAACGUUAAAAAAUAGGCAAAAUUUUAAGUUAGGACCAAAAGUGCACCAAAAAUACAAACAUGAGGAAUUAUUAGAACUCCAUGUGAAAACUUAGGAAUCACUUUGAGUCUUAACGUAAAGAUGAGAGACUAUUUUGAGUCUUUUCUCUGUACAAACCUAUAUAAAGUUGGAUAAGUAGAAACAUAAAUCCUACGUAGUAUCACACAAGACAGUUCACGUCUUAUAUGAUAUUAUAUGUGUAUUAGAUCACUAAAAUAGGAAAAUCUACUUAUUUAAUUUUAUAUAAAUUUAAAUUUCUGAUCCAAAAUUCAUUAUGUUGUGUUUCAUUGUUAUUAUAAAUAGUUACUAAAGUUUAUUUUUAAAAAUCACAAAAAAAUGUCAUAAUGCUUACAACUAAUUGUCAUAUAAGUUGGUUCACCUAAAUAGAGUAGCAUCAAAUAUUCAAAAAUACAUUUCUUCUUUUUUUUAGUCAUGGCGCAAGUAUUGAUGAUAUCCUAAACUAACAACCUCACAAUUUCCACUAAAUGCACUUUGCGUGUACGUGUAAAUCGAGAUAUUUUAGAUUUUUGAAAUUUAUUAUUAAUAAUUAUAAAUUAUUUAAUUGAUAAAUUGUUAUUAUAUUAUUUAAUUAGAGUUGUUUACUUACGUACUUAUAAUUUUAUUAGUAUAUAUUUAUGCUCAAAUUUAUGAAAUUUUUCAUGUUUCAGAUUUAUUUAUGAAUUAUGAUCAAUGGAGUUCGAUAUGCAAAAUUAUUUAUUAUAUUUUUUUAAUAGAAAGUGAAAAGAAGCUUAAAGGAAAAGUUGGACUCAAAAGGAAACGAAGAGAAAGUGUGUUUAGCACUACUUUUAAAUCCUAGUAUUUUGCUAGAAUCGUGGCUCAUAUCAUAUUUUUUCUUAAAUAAGAAUAAAAUAAAUAUUUAAAGCACAAGUUAAUUAUAUAUUCAUAUGAUAAAAAGUUAAAAACUAUAUUAAAAACUUUGUGAAAACAAAAUUGCAAAAUUGCAAAAUCCAUUUUUUAUUAUUUGAUAUGAUUUUGAAAUUUAAGAAUUCGACACAAAUAGAAGUAGAAAUUAAGUUUUAUACUUAAAAUAGGCAAUAAUACAUGUAUUGAACUCUAAACUUGACUUCAAAUUUUAACUUCGACCUCCAACAUUCAUAAUGCACAAACAGACAUUUUAACUAUCCAACUUUUAAAUAAAUAAACACAUGAGUUCUACAUGACCACAAUACACGUUGGAUACCACAUAUGACAAAAAAUGUGUCUAUUUGUUCAACUUGAUAUAAGUUUAAGUGUAUAUCUGUGCACAUCCAAAGUUAAAGAGCAUAAAUAUGAUUUAAAAUCAAGUUAAAGGACAUAUUUAUGUAUUAUGUCUUUAUAAUAUCCAAACCAGACCAAUUCAAACAUGUGUAUGCCCCUAAAUGAAGUUCAAUCAUAUAUAUAUUAAUAUUCUGACAUUUUUAAUGACUUCAACCAUUUUUAAUACGAAGCUCAUACCCAUACCAUUUAUUUCCAACUCUCAAAUUUCACGCCUUUAUUUUUUUUAAUAGAAAAAAAUCAUCAUCAUCAUAAUUAUAAUAAUAAUAAUAAUAAUAGAUUUAGUCAUCUUUUGAUAACCAAACCAAUUUCAAAUACCAUAAAAAGAUUCAAUUAAUGUAUCAAAACUUUGAACACACAAUAUACUUAAUGAAGUCUCACAUGAUGAAAUCGAGAGAGGACAAAAGUAUGCCUCUACCCGACUCAAGUAACACAUAUAAAAGAACAUAAAAAAUAAAUAUAACAAGUACUACAAAAAGUAUCACAUAGCAUUCUAAAAAAAGAAACAGUAACAACAACGAAGUAAAUACAUUUAGUAAAUCCUUUUGAUAUAGAACCAUCAAGCAAACAAAGGGGUUUGAGUUGUAAAACUAGUUGCACUAGUUGAUGUAUGUGGAGGAACAGGAGGUCUACUAUUAUUAUUCCCAAGAAAGCUUCCAUUUCUCUUUGCUCUUAAUGAUGAACAUGAGCCUCUCUUUGAGCUUAAUCUUGAAGAACUAUUGCUUCUAAUAGGAGGAUUCAAGUUAUUUGAUUUGAAACCUUCUAAGAAAACUCCAUAACUCUUGCAUGAUUUUAGCUUCUUGUUGUAUGGAUUUUCUGGCUUAGCCAUGUCCUCUAAGCUCCUCACAUUUGAUAGAGAGGUGAAUGAUUGUGAUUUCCCAUUGUAAUGUUUUGACAAACCUCUCCUAUUAACCCCCCAAAAAAAAGGACAAUUAAUUAGCAUCAUAAUGAAAUAAUAUGAAAAAUUGUUGAAGAAAGAUUUAGAGGGUGUUUAGAUAAAAACAAAUAAAAAGAUAUGGAUCUCAAAUCUUAUUUAAUCUCAAAAGCUAGAUUAGGGUGUGAAAGUAUUUCUGAGAACGUAUAAAGAGUCACCAUAGUUUAAUCUGAUGUGGAACUCUUCAAUACCUAUCUUACGUCUAAUGCUGGACAUUUAUGAAGUAGUAUAAACAAAUUAAUAUGAAAAGAAACAAGAAUUGAGAUGAAUCCUAUCCUAAUAAUUACUUAAAAUCGAGUGUUUUUAAGUUAAAACCAAAUCAAAAGACAUCUCUCUAACUUUUGCUUAUUAUCAACUUUAGUAAUUCGAUCCAAACGAGCAAUUACUUAUUUUUAAUACAAUUGACAAGUGAUUUUUAUGGUUUGAACUUACUUGCGCGUAAUCUAACUAUUUUUAAGUACAAUACAUAUAUCGAAUAAAUCUUAUUCAACAAUGCUCGAAUAUGGAAGCAAAAUAAUAUAGUAAGUAUUCUUUAAACGCCUUGUAACAAUUGAUAUCAAAGGCCUGUUUAGACCUACUUUCGAUUCAAGUAUAAGCCAAACAAAUUUUAAACUUGUAUAUAAUCACCAAAAAGAAAUUACCUUGUUGAUCUUUCAAAGUAGUUGUAUCAAACUUCUAGCCUUAUUUCAAGUAUUUUUAAAUUACCAACUCCCUUAGUGUUGGUAUGUUUAGUCGGGCGGCGGCCGUUAGGUCACCUAUUUUGAGUUAUGGACACACGAGGUCAAAACAUGUGUGCCGGGCGCGCGACCCAUCAAAUAUUUCACACUUACAAUCUCUUAAGUGACCUUAUAGUCGAUAAAUGACGAAUAUUUACUCAGUUUUAAUCAGAAUUAAAAUCUCUUCAAGUCAUGAGCGAUUUCAUUCGGACAAAGCUAGGUAGAGUUUGGAAAUCUAGACAAAUCCACUAACUUUUUCGUAGAUCAUAUAUUUCUAUUAAAACUUUUUUAUAUAUAUUAACUAAUAAAUCCCCAACAAAAUUAAUUAACUGCAGUAAAAAAGAAGCCAUGAAAAUGUUAAUCACACUGGUAUUGUAGAUUCACAACCACCAUUAUUCUUCUAUUCUAAAAUUUAAAAUUCUCUAAAAACUCUUAAUUCUGAUUUCGUCACUUGAUAAAUGUCUCUUUCAAAUCACACGUAAAGGGUCUUCUGUCCAAAUAAGCUACCUAAACCAUUUUCAAAAGUUAAUUUCUCAAAUCAUUACUCAACUAAUAAUUAUUAUCUCCCUAAAUUAUAUUUUUCUUAUUUCUUGAGAUUCGAACAACAACUAAAGCUUCUAUGUCACAUAUGAAAUUAGAAACUUUUCGUCAAUUCAAAUUUAAUCCAACUUUAAUAUAAACACAUAACAUUAAAAAAAAAACAUAAAGAAAACAGAGGAAAAGUAGUUGUUACUUGAAGGGAAGUUCUUGUAGAAGAGUGGACAUAUUUUGCAAAGCUCCUUUUGUGUGUUCAUCAUGACUUAUUGAAUCACUACAAGAAGAAUUCGGAGAAGUUGGAUCCGAAGAAUCCCCUUCUCCUCCUCCUUCUUCGUCAAACAACUCCGAAUCAGAUGAAGAGAAAUUACUCAAUAUUUCAGAAGAAUCAGAAUCAUGAUUAAUAUCCUCAUCCAUGAUCCCAUGGUUGUUUUGUUGGUCCAAAGAAACUAAUCUCAUUUUCACAUUCAUAAUCUAAAUAAACAAAAUCCACCAUACAGCUCUUACAAAAAAAAAAUGUAAUUUUUUCGAUUGAAUGAAUAGGUGUAACAAGAUAAGGAAAAAAGGUGUAUAAAUAUAAAUAUUUAUACUAUAGUUUUUUAAAUUUUUAAUAUUAAUGUUAUGUGAUAUCAAAAUAUUUUUAAAAGAUUCGGCGUUAUCCAUUUUCUAUCUUAGUGCCAACCCAACCAAAUUGACCCCACUUGUCCCAAACAGUACUAUAAAUGGAAAGAAAAAGUGUUUGAACCAAACUGCAUUCAUCCUUUGGCGCAUGCACACCACUUUCGUGUUAUUUAUUUAUUCCAUCUUCUAUCCUUAACUCGAUAAAAUUAAAUUUAGUAAAAAAGAAAAGUUGAAUCACGUAAAUACGAAGAAAAGUUUAUAGCAAGUUGAGGAGAAUGAGAGAGACUAUCCUUCGGUUUAUUACUAAGAGUUUUGAAUAUCUGCUCGUAUAAAUUUGAUUGUUAUAUAGUUAUAAAUACUCAUAACAAUUUACAAUAAUUUGAGUUACGUGACAUAUUUCACCUUCUCUAAUUAGCUUUGAAUGAAGCGUCAAAACAUAUUAACAUGCCGUAAGAUAGUUCUUUUACCAUGGCACCGUUUUAUAUGAAAUAAAUAUUCAGAUUUUAUGAUUUAUAAAAAGACGUUCAUUAGAAAAUUUGAAGAACCUUUAUGAUAUUCUUUUACUCUCUAUCUUUAUCAUUUCCCCACCCAAACACACACAUCGAGAAGAUCGUAUAGAUACAUGAUAUAAAUGUUAUUUUCGAUCUUUGUAAACUCACUAAUCUGUUUCACAAAAUCUAUUGUUAAUAAGAAUAAUGAUUUUUUUUGAUAAAUAUAUUUCUUAUUCAAUGUAUAUGAAAUGGGGCUCACAUAUAUUUAAAUUUCUCAAAUUCAGAUUAAUCGAGCUCUGAUAUCUACAUUAAAUUUUUAAUUUUUAUUUUUGUGUGUGUUAUGCACCUUAGAUGUGGGCGAGUUGAGUGUUUGAAAAUGUGGAAUAAUGGAUAAGGCUCUCCACUCCAACUUAUUACUUUACCGCUACUUGUUUAUUUUCUCUUUUUUCCCUUUUUGUUUUCCUACGGCGCUCCUUGUUUUUAUUUUUUUUCUUAUUAUUAUUCAUUAUUAAUUUCCACCGUCCCUAAAAUUAAAAAAUAAAAAAUAAAAACUAAUAUCUAUGCUCUUUUUGCUUUUUCCAAAAGAGAUAUUUACUUGAAACUUUUGACGUGGAUUUAUUUUUAUUUUCUUAUUGUUUUAAAUAUAAUUACAUUUUUUGAGGACAUUGAAAUAUUAUUCACGGAUUCCCAAUAAUAUUAUCCAUUAUUAUUUCUUCUCAUAACUUGUUUACAAAGUAUUUAAGAAAAAUCAUAAUAUUUAAGUAAUUUUUCUAAAUUUAUUUGUCAAUAAAAAAGAUUAUUGGUUCACUAAUAAAUUUUAAAAAUAUUUUGAGCAACCAUUAGUAUUUAAAUUUGUAUUUUAAAAAAAUGCUUUUAGAAAAAACAAAUUAAUAUUUGAAAAUCAACUUAUGCUGCUUAAAAUACUUAUUUCCCCUUUAAAACUUUAUCAAAUACCGUACAUUCUAGAAUAAUUAUUUAAAAAAAAAUUAUGAUGACUUUUAAUUAUUCAAAAAAAAUUUAUUAGAUGUGAAGUAUUGUGGACCUAAAUUCCGUUUGGCCAUGGAGUUGGGGACAGUUGGAAUUUGGUAAAUCAUAUCGUUUUCGUUUUAAUUUGUUUAUUCUAUUUUAAUUUGACAUAAAAUAUAAAAAAUAAUAAUUUGUAUUUAUAAUUAUAAAUUAAAAAUAAAUUAAAAUAUUUGUAGAUUCAUAAUACCAAAUAUUUAAAGGGAAAACUAAAAUUAUAAAGCUAUAAUAAAUUAUUAUUUUUUAAUAAUACGUAAGACAAACAAAUUAAUAUGGUAACUAAUUACAAAAUUAGGAGGUAAUCACUACCUUACUUAAUUCAUUAAUUAAACUUGUACCCAAGUCUUUAUCCUCCACCACUUCUCUCUUCCAAUAGUUAUCCAUCCACAUAAGAGGACACGUUUAUUCAUAUAUAUAUAUUUUAAUAUUUAAAAUAUGAUAUUUGAUAAAUUCAAUUUAAAAGUUAUAUUUUCAAAUAUAAAAAUGGUACUAUGUUGAAACUUUAAUCCAAGGCCAUACAAUGUUAAAUUAUUCAAUUUUCAACUAUCAAGUGAAAUAUUCUACUGUUUGAAUUAGUUUGAUUGAUUUGAAAUAUAUUAUUCAAACUAAAUAAUGUUUGAUAUAAAUUUAAUAUAUUUAGUUUAUUUGAAAUAGAUUUUAUAGAUUAUAUAAAAAAAAUUAUUAGAAGUCAACUAUAGUUAACGAUUUAAAAUAUUUAAAAAGUGUUGAAAAAUUAUAAUUUUAAAAAGUAUAUUUUUUUAUUGUUCAACUAUUUUCUCCGUGGCUCCGUCUCGAUUUAUUUGUUAUAUAUUUCUCUUUUAGAAUACAUAAUUAAUUUUUUUUUUACCACUUCUCUAUCAUUAGUGUCUUAACAAUAUAAUUUUUUCUUUCUAAAAUUAUUACGCUACUGAAGUGCUUGUAAUUAGUGAGAACAAUUAUUCUAAAGGAUAAAAUAAUAAAUAUUAAUUGAUUUGAGAUAAAUAUUUUGAGAAAUUACUUAAUUAAGAGCAAAUAACAUGGAAUUAGCUUUCACCAAGUGGACGUGCCGGAGUGGUUAUCGGGCAUGACUAGAAAUCAUGUGGGCUUUGCCCGCGCAGGUUCGAAUCCUGCCGUCCACGUUUUGUUGUUUUAUUAUUUCGUUUCCUGAACAAAUAAUUUGUUUUUAUUAAGAUUAGAACGUUUAAAUUUGAUUGCACACUUAAAUAUUAAGAUGUGUAUUAAGAUCUGAAUAAAUAAGCCCCUUUUAUUUUUGUUUCACGAACAAAUGAUUUGUUUUCGUUAAGAUUAAUACGUUUAUAUUUUAAUGAACAUUUAAAUAUGGAAAAAAUGUAUAUAAUAGCAAACUAAUAACCUAAAAUAAAUGGAGUAGCUAAGGUUUGAUUUAAUUGUGCUCCAUAGCAAACGUUUGCAAAAGAUUGUCAGGCGCCUCUCUCCCAAAUAUCUCGCUCGCUUCCUCACUUUUUUAUACAAAUACAAGUGUAUAAAAAUUGUUUCUAAUUGUAUAAAGCAGAUAAAAUUGUAUAAAUACAUAUAUUUUUGUUCCCCUCUCUCCCCUCUUCUAGAUCUCGCUUGCCACUCUCCCAAAUCUCGCUUGCCACCCUCGCCUUUCUCACUUAUACAAACAGAAGCGAAAUGUAUAAAUUGCGUUUCUGUUUGUAUAAAGCGUGAGAAAACUGUAUAUUCACAUGCAAAUACAUAUUUUCGUCCUAUACACUUAUAAUUAUACAAUAAAAAUACUCCUCUGCCCAGUUUCUUUUGUCUUUCUCUCUUUCUCGUUUUAUACAAUUCGAUUCAAUUGUAUAUUCCUUGUCAAGUCUCUUUUGUUUUUCUCUCUUUUCUCAUUUUAUACAAAUUCAAAUUGUAUAUAAUUGUUUUAUACACUUCGUUUUUAUACAGUUCUCUGCCCAAGUGUCUUUCUCUUUCUUGUUUUAUACACUUCGUUUUUAUACAGUUCUCUGCCCAAGUGUCUUUCUCUUUCUUGUUUUAUACACUUCGUUUUAUACAAUUUGCUUUAACUAUAUAUGUAUAGCGAAAUAUACAGUUUCUGUGUUUGCUAUGGAGCAAAAUUAUGCAAACUUUGCUAUAACAUACAAAUAUAAAUUUUUUAUGUGCUACAUGUGAAAGUUGCCCUUUAAAUAUUAAGAUCUAAAUAUUUGAAUAAGUAAGCCCCAAAUAGAUGGUGCACAAUGACUUUAGACGAUUCAACUUAUCUAUUUGCUACUCUUCCGUCUCAUUUUAUAUGUCUCUUUUUUAUUUUGCACCUGAACUAAGAAAUGAUGUAACUUUACCCUUCUACCCUUAUUUAAAGUUUUCUUAAGUCAACUUUAUUAAUAAAUGACAAGAUUAAUGAACUAUUCUAUCAAGGGUAUAAUAGGUAAAAUAUGAUAACUUAUGCAUAAAUUUUAUAAAACGAAAAAUUAUCGAAAAUAACCUUAAACUAUCUGAAAUAGCUCAUAUUUACCCUUUAACUAUAUAUUUCGACUCAAAGCUAUUCUUUUUGUUAGACUAUUGGGUUAACAAUGUCCUCCUUAUUAACGAAAGUUGUUAAAUGACAUGUAAAUGUCACAUUACACGCUAAUAGGGUUCCACUAACACAUAUACUUUCACAUAUAACAAACAUAAAAAUCAUAUUUGUAUAUUAUAACUAUAAUUUGUAUAAUUAUACUUCAUAACAAAUUUUAUAUUUACUAUGGAACUUUUGAUUUUGUAUAAAUCGUUGAAAACAUUUAAUUUUAUACGAAUAGUAGAAUUACACAUCAUUCAUCGCCAGAGUAAAUAACUCAAGCCUUAUUACACGCGUGUACAAUCAUACAAAUACUUAAAGAUAUAUAUAAAUUUUUUUUUAUCAUAAUACAUUUUGAUAAUUAAGGAUGGAUUGAUUAAAUUAAUCUUUAAUUCCAGUACAAAUUAAUGAUCCAUCAGUUUUAAACAAUUUACAACCUUCAUCUGCUGUGCAACAAUUGACACAAACUUGACUAAUUUGUUCAUCUCCUGAAGAAGGACAAGUCAUGUAGGCCACUUCAUCAUCACAAUAUUGAAGACAUGACUUGGCAUUUGUAUAUUCCACUUGAAUUACCAACAAAAAUAUACCUACAAAAAAAAUUACAUAUUUAGUUUGAAAGUUUGAUAUGUGUGCAAACACAUCGAAAUUACUAAACUUAAAGAUUAGCUCAUGAAAAUAUAUAUGACUGGCGUGAUUCCUUAGCUUAUCUAAUUUGACUAAACAUGUAGAUUAAAUCGACUCGUAAGAAAUUCUAUUGAAAUAUCUUCAAAAAACUUAUUUACCAGUUGAACGGAUCAAUAAUUAUCCAUUUGUUUAGCUUAUCUUGACUCAAUCUAUCUUGAUUUAUGGAACGGUCUAUUUAAUAACACAACCCAUUAGACUCUCCAAAGAUCAACACAAUCUAUAUAUUGGUCUGCUCAUUUACUAACUCAACUCAUUAUGAUUCAACAAAUUUGUUCAUCAAAAAGUUUAAUCGAUUUAACAAAACAUAACUUGAAUUGUACUAUGAGAAUUUCAUCAAAAUAUUCUUAAUCUUUUUUUUUUUCAAAAAAAAGUUGAUCUGUUAUAUAUCAACAUAAUAAUAAUAAUAAAAAAUAAAAUUAUGUGCUAAAUAAAUUAUGAAAAUAUAAACAAAUUAAAGAAAUUGAAACUUGAUAAGAGUUUGACAGAUUAGCCAUCAACCCAUUAUUUAAUCCAUCUGAGCUUAUAUAACUUUUUCUCGGUCAUUAAUCCGUCCAUUUAUUAAUUAAUUCUACUUUCAUAACUUUUUAAAAUCAAUAUAACCUGAAUAUAUAUAUAUAUAUAUUAUUUUUGUUCUAGCUACACAAUGUAUAUUAACUUCUAUGCGAUUUUAUUUUUUUAGAUUUUGAUAUUCCUUAAAUAAAACUCUAACUCUACUACCGUACAUAUAUAUCAAAAAAGCUUUACCAGACAAUAGAAGGAGAAAAAGGAUACCAACUUUGUAAAAGGCCAUUGUAUUUUUUUUUUCUUUUGCUACUUAUUUGAGGAUAAUAUCAUCUCUUAAUAUAAGCUAUUUAUAGAGCAAAUACAAAUAAGAAUUAAUAUAUAACUUUUCUCAUAAAUACACCAAAUUUGGAUUAACUUAAGCAGUUGUCAAAGUGGACCAAUUGUAAAUUAAUCAAAGCUAACUCAAUGCAGCCUUCACAUUGGAUUGCAUGACCUUAUUGUUUUUAAUUUUUGGUAUAUGAUCAAUCACUCAAUAACGAUGUCAUUUUUUAAGAUUAUUUUUUAGUUAUUAUAAUAAAUAUUUGUUUUAUUUUAGAAAAUACUACUAACUAUUUUAUUUUUUUUAAAAUGGAAAAUAUUGACUAGGUUUCGAAAAAUCAAUUAAUUUAAUUAUUUAAGAAAAAUCGACUUUUCGAAUUACGGAGUCGCCACUUGAUUUUGAUAAAAUCAAGAAAAAAUUUCAAAAGAUUUAAAAACAGAUAAAAUCGAUUGAAAAGGUUCGAAGUUCAAUGUACAUCCCGAGAAGGUAUUAGGCCCUCGGGAUGCCCGCUAACUUGCGGUUGACCGGCAAUUUGACUAAAUGACUUUUUUAAGUAAAAAGAAAAUUUAUUUUAAUAUUUAUUAUUUUAUUUUUUUUAAUUAUUAUUAUUAUUACUAUUUUUUAUUUCUAAAGGAGCUAUUUAAAGGGAUUUAAUUUAAGGAAAAACUAAUUUGUGACAAAAGUAAAUAAAAUAAAAUAGUAAAGUUUAAAAUAAUGAAAAAUGGCUACCCUUUAGGAGAUUAUUAAAAUCCUACCACACAUUAAUUAAUUCAAGCAAAUAAUAAGUAAAGAGGAGAACAAAAUUGAACUUGGGCCCUUUCAACAAACUAAAAAUCCUGCAAAAAAAACAUUUAGGCCCCGUGGGCCUGUUAGAAAAAUUGUUGAAGGGCCCUGGGCCAUUCCUGAAAAAAGGAUCCUGAAGGAUAUACAUAAAUGUAUACAUACUGUAUACAGUAUAUAUUUGACCCUUUUGAACCUCUUGAGUCCUCCACCUGUUUAAAUACAUAUUUUCGUUACUUUUCCCUGCAUUGCCUUGCGUAUUUGUACCUGUAUUAUUUUUUUAAAACUUACUUAACAAGUGUAUAUCGUCGCCCGAUAAUGUAUACUAAUGUAUAUGGGCUGCACCCUACGUCCGCAUUGUUUGCCUAAUUCUGAAUUUUAAUUAAAAUAAGAGUACCCGUACGUUAACCUGCAAUUCACAUUUUUACACAUAUUUAGUAUAGCGUCUAUGUAUAUCAGUGUAUACAGGCUGUAUAUCAGCCUGAUUUUCAACUUUCGAAAGUUGAAACUCCUUUUCCGAAGCGUAUCCUCACUGCCACAAACCCAGAUUUCGAGUUCGGAUUUCCUGUGCAUUUUUGACAUGUAUACCAGUGUAUAUCAGAUGUAUAUAGCUGGUUUACAGCUUCAAAAAAAACAUGCAGUCAAAUUCUGCAAACUGCCACUUCCAGUAGCUCUCCAAUGCCGGAUUUCGACCUGUAAAUGGGUCUUAAGACCUCCUAGACUUGAGAUGGGCCGACUCAAAGAUCUUUUAACUCGGAGGAAUGCGGGAGUGGAGUCCGAAAUGGACUCGAAUCGAUGUCACAUGUAAUGAAAAAACAAAAGAAAAGGAUUAACAAUAGCCAUAAAUAUUAUCAUUAAAACAAGAUCCUCAACAAGCAUUAGGCAAGAACGAGUUCUUUAGACUUUCAGACAUACAUAAGUAUGAAACCUUCGGCAAAUUCGAAGAUAGCAAUAGACAACAACACAUAAACUAUUGUAACUAAAGUAUGCUUUGAAACAAAGGGAAGUCAUGCUUUCAUUAAGAUGUAGAAGUCAAAAGAAGAAGAGUUGUCCACAUGAAACCAACAUAUCAUCCCAAGCCUAAGAAAAGAAAAGCAAAUAACAGUGCCUUGGCUUAUUGAAACAAACCUCAAAACCCCCUAACCAAUUUUUUUUUUUUGAGUUCGAAUGACAAGCUCAAGCAACGUAAGAAACUUAUUAAAGAGAACCAACCAAGAGAGACAAACAUUGGACACCAACAACCCCAAACAACGCAUUAAUUAACCUCACAAAUACGAACUCGUGCCGAGGCCUAUAACGACCAAUGUAUAACGUUACAACAACCUCCAUCAUCACAUGAAUCACGCUUAAUGCUUAGAGUACACAUAGAAUCAACAUUUGACGAAAGAACUCUUAAAACAGGGCAUGUCAAGCAACUCCAAAGGGACAACACAUUAAGCAAUGGUAAGAGAACUUUUCAGGGGACACAAAGAAAACUUAAAGUGAAGACAGAAAGGGAGAUAAGCUAAACUGAAAAUGCACUGUCCGAACAGUCGAAUUCACAUUGAUGAACACCAGGUGCAGCUAUACAUGUUAACUCAUGAGAGAAAAAUCAUGACACUGCACAUUAUUCAUACCAAGCUGAAAACACCAAGAAACCAAGAGAACAUGGGGAACAAACGCCAUAAUUAACACUUACUAACAAACCUAAGACAAGGGGAAUGAAAAAGAAAGGAGCAUCAUGAAAUAUACAAAGCAUAAACAACUUAAGGAACACUCAGCGAAUAGACUCUAUAAGAAAACUAACAAGUCAGUUAUAACAUACAUCCGUAUUCAAAUUUCAUAAUCGUCAUCACCACCCGAGUCGUCAAAACAUCAGAAGAAGCCAUUUCGAAACGAAAGAAACAAGAAAGUUGUACGAAGCAGGGGAUUACCUCUUCGGAAGCGGCAAACUGGAACAGCAAGGAGCCUAAUAACUUCACCACCUUACGAAGACUCGAACCCCUGGCGAAGAAACGAAGUCUAGUCGAGAACUUAGAUUCAAACACGAGACACUAGCAACUCUUCCGUCUCAGUCGUUUUCAAAGUAUUUGCGAUGUUUUUCUCAAGUUUUCUUGAUAUUUCAAAGAUAAACAGAAAGAAAUUUACUCCGGCAAACUCUUACAACGAAAUUUCAACUAAAAAUUUUCAACCCCUAUUCCGAAAACGGAGGGAGUUUAUAUAGAGGGAGAAUUUUUAGGGUUCUUGGGGUAGGAGGGCGGGGGAAUUUCGGGAAAGGAUUGGGGCAAAUUCGAGACUUCACCCUCCAUUUUGAAAUUCAAACCCAUGAAGAUAAGGUUGAAGCUGCCACUAGUACGAUCCUUGUACCCAUGGACAAAGUUUGUAGCCUAUCUUGUUGUUAGGCCGGCGCGAGCGUACGAAUUUCAGAAGGAAACGGCUCUAAAGCUGUUGCACAGCUCGCGUGAGAGAGGAGGAGAGAGGGGGGAGAGAUUCAUGGGAAGGGAUUUGGGCUUGAGGGGAAUUAAUUUGGGUUAAUAGGAACAAAGGAAAGGGGGCCCAAAUCUGAUAUUGGGAGUAGAUUAAAGGAAAAAGAGGUGGAUUUAAAAAUUGGCCAACUUUAAAAAUAAAAUGGCUAUAUCUUAAAUAAAAAAUGAAUUUGUAUUAAUUAAUCAACGAGCUUUUAUUUAAUAAAAUAUUUAUUAAAAAUCGUAAAAAUUGAUUAAAGUAAUUAUAAUUUAGAUUAAGCUAGUUUAUUAAACACUUAGGUGUAUAUUUUGAUGUUUCGAAUAAUCAUAAGAUAUACUACUUAUAUACAUAAUUAUGUAAAUAUGUAUAUUACCUAAAAUUAUGACAAGAGGUAUUCGAGGUAACAUAAUAUUCAUGUAUUAUAUUAUUUAAUUUUUACAAAAUUUAUAAAAUUAAUUAAUUAAAAUUAUCCGGAAAAUUUAGGAAGCUCGAUUAUUAAUUUAUACUGCGCAGGUCAAAAAUUGGGUGUCAACAAUAUUUCUUUUAUUUCAAAUUAAUUGAAUUGUUGAGAUAUCUUUCAUUUUUUAAAUUCACUUAAUUGUUCAGUUUUCAAAAUUACUUUUAGAACAUUCUUUCAAUUUUACCUUUCAUAAGUUAGUAUUGAAAUUACUUAUUAAUUAAUUUUAGUUAUUUUAAUUAUAAUUUUGACAUUAGUUAAUAAAGAUAAAAAUGAAAAGUUAUGCCUAAUUUAUGAAACACCUCAAAAAUUUAAUUAAUCUGAAAUGGAGGGAGUAUAUUAUUAUAGAAACUGAACUUUUACAGUAAAAUGUUACUUUAUCUCAAUUUAUAUAACACAAUUAAAAUUUCAAGAAUAAAUCAAAUUUUUCUUUGAUCAGUUUCUUUUUCAUGUCUUUUAGAUAUUUUAACUUGUUAACUAUGUAAUGUAUAGUACUUUUUUUAUUUUUUAAAAAGUAAUUUCAAUUUUUUAUGUCCAAAUUUAGGAAUACCGUACUUUAACGUAAAUUUUGGUUUCUCAAGCCAUUAGAUUAAUACACAAAAAAAGAACAAAAAAUUAACAAAUCAUAGUUUUGCACAAGUUCAUCUUCAACUAAUUAAAAUAAUAAAAGAGAUGACAAGAGAACACAAACUUAUCAUGUACACAAUGAACAACUUAAUUUAGAUCUCUAUUUAAUAAUAAAUUAUUAUUCCCUCCAUUUUUAUUUAUGUGUCAAUCAUUUUAAAUUUCACAUUUUUUACGAAAUUUGAUAAAUUUAAUGAUCUUUUGAACUCAAAUUUUCUAUAGAUGAACACAAAUUAAUUUAAUUUAGUUUUGCUUUUUAUCACAACAAAUCCCAAAAAUAAACUAAUGUUGUAGUAGUUGAGUUUGUUUUUUUUAAAAAAAAUUCGAUGUUCAAUAUCUAAAUAAAUUGAGUUACUAUUAUGUUUUGAUAUAAUUGUAUUUGAUGUCAAAGCUAAUACUAUCAUAACUUUGAUAUUACCACAUAAUUAACAUCUCAAUUAAGAGUGAAGGACAAACUAGUCGUCUUGAACUAUCACAAGUAUUGAAGGACAACAUUUUUAAUUAUGUAAGAAAAUCUUUUUUUUUUUUACCAAAAAAGCUUUAAUUUUUACUGGUUCAUUUCGAUUUUGAAAUUUAUCGAUUUAAUUUAUUAGUUAUCGAUAUGCUAAAUCGUUGUAAAACCAUUAAGAUAAUUUACUUAUCGAUUAUUAAUUUAUCAAUUGUUAAUUUAUGUAAAUUUCAUUAUGAUAGUGUGUGUUAAUACAUACAUAAUGAUAGUUCAGAAAUAUUUUGAAGAAGAUUUGUAGGUGAACUUAAAUGGAUCAUCUAAAAAAUAAUUCAUUAUGUAUAGGUAUUGUAGUACAUUAAACAAUAAUGUGAAGUGAUAUAUUAUUUUUUUUUAAAAAAAACUAGUCGUUUCCUUUUCUUCAUUGGAAAUUAAACAGAAAAGAAAAAGUUGGUAUUUAAUAUAUUUUGUUUCAUUAUCUUUUCUCAUUUUUUCCUUGGCUGGAAUGCGAAAAUAAUGACUCACUAAAAGCAUAUAGUAUUUUAUUUUUAACAUGUUCAUUAUUGAUUUGACAUAUUUUUUUCAAAAAAUAGAACAACAAUUUCACUAUAUUAAUAUAAUAAAUUAAAUGUUAUGAAAAUGUGUUGAAAAAUAACUAUAAUAAAUAAUAAGGAAAAAUUAAGACCUAAAUGAGAAAUUAUCUCUAGUAAAAAACUUAAAUAUAGUUUUUAAUAAGACGAUAAAUUAUUCUCGUAAUUAGAUGUGCAUCCAGAUUUAAAUCUUUAACAAUCAAAAUCGUAGACUAUUUCACUAUAUUAAUAUAAUAAAUUAAAUGUUAUGAAAAUGUGUUGAAAAAUAACUAUAAUAAAUAAUAAGGAAAAAUUAAGACCUAAAUGAGAAAUUAUCUCUAGUAAAAAACUUAAAUAUAGUUUUUAAUAAGACGAUAAAUUAUUCUCGUAAUUAGAUGUGCAUCCAGAUUUAAAUCUUUAACAAUCAAAAUCGUAGACGGCAGGAUUCGAACCUGCGCGGGCAGAGCCCACAUGAUUUCUAGUCAUGCCCGAUAACCACUCCGGCACGUCCACGUUGAUGUAAAUGAAAUACAUAAUACAUUAAAUUAAAAGUGGAGCUAGGAUUUUGAGUCUAUUGUUCAAGAUUUUAUAAAAACACACCUUAUUUGGUUUUAAAUUAUUUAUAGGAUAUAUUAAAUUAAUGUUUAAACACAUAGAGAAAAUUUGAGGAAAAAUUAUUGAGUUCUACCGAACUCGUAAAAUAUGGUAGAAAUAGACUAUGUUGAGGCACAAAAUGUGCCUAUUCUGGUUCUUAAUACCAUUUUGUUGAGUCAUGUUCAUAUUGCGAUGAAGUUAUGUUAUAUGUAUCGAUAGUAUAAAAGUAAUUACACAAAUAAAAUAUUACUCUAAAGGUAAUUGCAAAUAACUUCAUGUAAAUGGCAUUGAUAGUUAACCUAUAACAGAUUGUUACGAAUUUUUUAUUACAACGUGUUACUUAUUAUCUAUGUAUAUAACUGAAAUUCAUUAAGGGAAUAUAUAUACGCAUUACAAUUCGAAUAAGCAUGUCCUAAUUUAUAAAUCUAUAUGAAUAUAGGACAACAUGGAGAUCACAAUGAAGGCAAAAUUGAAUAUUAAGAUCUUAGAGUUGUAUAUAUAUAUAUAUGUGGAUCCAAGCUACAUAGUAAAUUAACAUGAUGGUGAUACAAAAUUCAACGUUAAGAAAUGUUGUAGCUAGUCAAACUAAGACAGUUAAACUAAAAACGUUAAGAAGUAGUAGUAGAUGUGACAUUAUAUUUAGUAUCACUGUUUACUGUCUUGAAGAUCCUGGUUCAUCCCUCAAACUCAUUGCUUCCAAUUGACGUAGCAAGUUGUCAUUUCGAUCUCUAUUAGCUGAGCUUCUUGUUGAGAUAACACUUCCAUCAAUUAGCCAAGUCAUUGGAAAUGCAAUGUUUCUGCAGAAAAAUGAACUCUGGUGUAAGUUAGCUGUAAAGUCAACGACUUAAUAACACGUUGAGACGACUCGACAUGUUCAUGGAGUACUAUAUUAUUAUUAGGUAAUCGGAGAUUCUUUUACUCUGUCAGUGUAUAAAAGCUAAAUCGAGGGACAAAAUGAGAUCAAAAGACAUGUAUGUACCGUUCCACACGUUUGUAUUUGCAACGAUUCAUCAUAUCAACUGUAUAUUGACCAAAAUGGAUGUCAAGAUCCUUUGCCAACUUUGGUAUAUAAUAUCCUGGUAAAAUGUCCCAUAUCUUUAGCACUUGAAGAUAUCUCGAGUUGUCUUUCACAAUAUCGAUUGUCCAAAUCAACUUUAGGUGCUUUACAUUGUAGACCUCCAACAGUACAGAAGAAUUUCCUCUCUUGUUGUUGAACCUGUUGUUCUUUUCUGAGUUACGCCAACCACUCGAAAGCUUCUCUACAAGAGUAUUCACUUCUUUACUUAUCUCAGCAUCCUUGAUUCUGGCAAUGGAUUUAGUGAAAUUCUCACUAAAUAUAACCUGUUGAGUUAAAACAGCAAAGAACGUGUUAUAUCUACGUUAUGUAGAAUGUGUUCUAUUUUGGUCUUAAACAUGUCACGUGGAAGAGUGAAAGAGAAGUGAAAUAUUCAUCAUACCUUCCAUUUAAUGUUCUGAUUUGGUCUCAUAUCAUUCAACGAUUCAUUAGUCGCGUUCAAAGUUCCUUGAUUCAAUCGUUUAUCAUCAGUAACAUCAAAGUAACAACCACGAGUCUUGGCGUCAAUGACCAAAUUCUUCCAUAUGGAACCACUAUUAACCAAAGUUGUUCCAUUUCCCAAUAUCCAAAGACAGUACCUUGCUCGUGUCAAUGCUACGUUUGCUCUCUGAAGAUUAGAAAGAAAACCAACCGAUCCAUUGCCAUUCCAACGAACAGUAGAGAUAAUUAUAACAUCCUCUUCACCGCCUUGAAAACCAUCAACAGAACGUACAUUCACAGAGAAGUCACUCUUUACAUCUGUACUAUAUUUCUUUCCAAGAAUUUGUUGAAUAGCAAAAACUUGAGCCUUGUAAGGAGAUAUACAACCAACAUGAACUUUUUGUUUCGAUGAGAUGAAUUCUGUAUGUAAGAGGAUAUCUAUCACGUAUGCCAACUACAAAGAACAAAAAACAUAAUCCUUGAAAGAUAAGUCGUGUGUUACGUACCUUUAUGAAGGUUGAAAACUAUCUCAGCUACAACAAAAGCUUCUGGUUUAUUUCUCGUGCUGUAUCUUUCAUCUUGCUCUUCAUUUCCAUUACUUACGUUGAUAAAGGAAUACGAGCCAAAAAUAUCUCCAGUAAGAAAUCUCUUCUCAUAUUUUUCACCUUUCACAUUAGGACCAUCCAUAAUUUUCUUAUGAUAGAACUCAUUGUUUGGGAACAGACUUAUUUUUGGAUGCAUCCUAUAUUGAACAUUAAGAAGUUGCUUCUUGUGUCCUAAUAUUACCAGCCUCUCGAAUAAGCUCCUCCCGAAUUCAGCCUUCUGGCAAAUCUGUCAACAACAGACACUAAUGGUAAAUUAUGAAAGAGCAGUAAUGUAAUGAAAGAACAUUCAAUAUUAAGACUAUUUGAAAACCUUGCUCUGAACCAUAGCAGGCAAUUGUUUUUCAUCUCCGAUGAGUAUAGCAUGACGUAGACCAGGGAGUUGUAACGGAAUAGUGGAUUCAGAUUCUUUCAGUUGAGCAGCUUCAUCAAUUACCACCAUCUCCAGUGGUGACAUUCCUUGCAUGUUCAGUAGUUUUGAUGAGCUAGACGCCGUGCAGAAAAUCAAGCAUGCACCUUUCAGACAAAAACUCUGAAGAGGGGGCUUAAAUUUCUUACUGAAAGUUGGAAGAGAGAGAUGCUCGUUAAGGAAUUUCAACAUUUCAAGGCAUUCUGUUUUACUUUCAUACAAGUUAGCAAAACGCCUCGCCUUAUUUGUUGUAUCGAUACCAAGAAGCACUUCCUUAUAUCUUUCAAAUGUUUCUGUAGUAGCAAACAAUGUUCUAAGAGUUUGCAGAUUCUUAAGAAGCCUGAACAUUACAUUAGCCGUUUCUAGUGGCAUGUCAGAAGUAGGUACAUGUGUAUACAAACUUGGCAGACAAAACAAUAAAUGGUUAAUGAACCAUUUUGAUUCUUUGAUAACAAACUUCUCAAAUGUCAAAGCAUUGGCUUCUUUGUUACUUGAAUCCCCUUCUGCUCUCGAGUUGUUCCUCCGUUGAGAACUUUUUUUAUCUUUUGAAGCCUUCUUCUUGUUCUUUUUUAAGGGUUCAAGAACAAAUUUACUCCACAACCUAUUCUUCGUAUGCUUAUCUACUAAUCCAUGAGCAUUGAUCUUCCCAUCUUUGUUGCUCAAGCUAGAUUGUUCAUUGGUAAUGUUACCUUCUACUUCCUCUUCAUCAUCACUUGUGUCAUGUUCCUUAUUUUCAUCUUUUUCUAAGUACUUACGGUAGUGCUCUUUAGGAUCCUCGAGCAAACAUAUCAUGGAUUGUACACUACUUUUCCAUCCAUCUUUUGAUGACAGGCAGCUGGCAAGAACAUCAACGCGGUACUCAAGAAACACAUCAAACAGAUCUUCAUGAUCACCGAUCUUCAUUCUUUCACCAUUUCCAAAUAAAACAACGUCUCCUAAACCAUACGUGUCAUAUUCAAGACCGUCUUGUACAUGCUGCAUCAACCUCUUUGCAACUCCCAAAACAGCAAUGUUCGUAGGAGCACAUGUCAAAGUUCUGCAUUUCAUCUUGAACAGAACAUAUAGUAAGGAGGCAACUGUUUUAGUCUUCCCGGUUCCUGGAGGACCCCAAAUUAGCUUAACCAUAUUCCGAUGAUCACAUUCCCUUGUUGCGAUACAACUUAGAAUAGCCUCUCGUUGAGCAUCAUCUAGACCAAAGGACUGAAUGAUAGAAACAUCAGUUUUAGUUUCUCUGUCAGAGCAAUCUGUGCAGUCUACUUCACCCUGACAUUGAUCAAAAUCAACAUGAAUAAAAGAAUAACAAGAUUAAGAAGGAAAAAAAUGUGAUGAGUGUGUUUAGUACGACGGAAGUCAUUUCUCAUGGAAUAUAUUUCCCCCGGAAAUGACUUGUGACAUAAACACAUAACCGAUAACUUACAUUAGCUACAUCACUUUGCAACACAGUCCCAAUGAUCUUUCGAUUUGCGUUAUCAGGAUCUAAAUGCAAAGCAUUCCAUAUUCGAAUAUUUGUUGUCAAAUUAGACAGAUAAACCACAAAAAGCUUGUCCCCUUGUUCACCCUUUUCAUUGUCUUGUCGCUGAAAUGGAAUAAGAUUUGAAGACAGUAUAGGUAUCCAGACUCCAUCGUCUUCAUCGUCUUCAUCGUCUUCAUCAUCCAUGUUUUGAACUAUGGCAAUGAGAAAAUAUCUCUCAGGUCUGUUCAGAUCAUCGAUUCUUCGUGGUCUCACAUCUGAUAAUGCAAUCAAAUCUCCAUUCUCUGGUUUGUAUUCUGUUUUACUUUUCUCUCCCUCUUUAGCUCUCUUAAUCAAAAUUUCGUAAUAUAGAUGUUUGGGAGCCUCAAACUUUCUUGAUGUUACAACAUCAAGAACCUCAACGGAAGGGGCAAGCGAUACUGUGGAGAUACAUGAGAGCAAAUCAGCAUGUGUUUCUUCAACUAGUGGAGUAAUGUAUGACUUCAAGUACUGAUCAAUCGACACGAAUGUCUCUGGUAUUUCUUUCACCUACAACAUACAUAGUAUUUUACUUAAUAAUACAUAGUGACAAUUUGAAGUUUAUGGAUUCAAGAGACUAUUACAUAUUCAAUUAGUUGUUUAUACAAAUACAAGAUUUGGACCACAACGAAAAGCUAACUUCUCUUGAUGACCAGGGGAGGAACCUUACGACAAAAAAUUACACUAUAUAUAUAGUAGAUGUUAUAAUAACUGGAUAUUUUCUUGUGUUUACUUCUUCAUAUUUUGAACUUUGAGCACGUUCAUUUUGUCAACAAUAAUUGUUUUGGUUUACUAGAAAAGUAAAAAUUCAAACCUUGUCUUUGUAAAGAUUUUUGUUGAGUACAUCUCUUAAAGACCAAGAAAACACCAAAUUCACUAAGCCAUGAAUUGGUUUCUUCUUCUCUUUUGUUGUUGUUGACAUGAUCUUCCACCUAAUUGUCAUUAAAAUAAAUUAAUUAAUUAAACAUCUUAACCUUACACAAGCAAAAACAAAAUUAAAGAAGGGAGUUUAAUUACCUUUUAUUUCUUCUUCUUAUGAGAUUAGGAGUUUCUACUAGCUAAGUAAAUCGGAAAUUAAAACAGGAAAAUACAUUAAGAGUUCCUUUUUUCUUUCUUUCAAAAGUCUCCUCAUUUUCUUCCUUGGGAAUUAUAGAGUUUUACACAAUUUCCAUGCAUGGAUGGGAUUACCUAUAUUGACAACAUUAAUUAAAUGUUACUCUUCCAUAUAUCUCAAUUAAUUAUGUAACACUGUUCGGAUUUUAACAUUCAAAUCUUUUAAUUUUGACUGUAAAUUCAAACAUAGAUUCGUCAUGUUAUUUUACAAAAAUAUUUCGUCCGUCCAUUUUUACUUUGUCUAGCACUUUCUCUGUCACUUUUGCAUAUGGAUUCACUAGCGAGUUUAGAAAUAUACCAUUUAGCUUUGCUUAGUUAAUGCUGAUAAAAUUUGACUGUUAAUCUAUCACUGUAGAAAUAUAUAUAGGCGUCUCAGAGAGUCAAAUAGUCUUAAUAACAGUUAUUAUAACAUGUUAAAUUACGCAAAAAAGUAGUUAUAUUGUCCAAGUAUAUAACAUCAAUUCAUUGAUGGAAUAAGUCCGUUACAAUACUAGGAACCAUGGUAUGGUGUAUGAAUAUAAAACAGAAUGGAAUUUUCACAAUGUAGGCACAAUCAAAUACUAAGACCUUGUAGUUGUAUUAUAUAUAAGGUCUUUUCUACAUUUUAAAGAUCAGCAUGUCCAUUUAACAAGCCAUUUCACUUCAACAAUAUCGUAACUAAUAAUUACAGUACUCAUGGACACCAUCUCAGCAAACGCGUAGGAUUCAAAAACUAUAGGAUCACAUCACCAGAUCAGUUGCAGUAUUAACAUGAUGAAGGCAGUGAAUUGCACCAAAAAAACUGCCAAGAAAAAAACAGAAUUUAAUGUUAAGAAAGUUCGCAGAUAGUCAAGCUAAGACAGUUAAAUUGAAACAUAGGAAGUACGUAGUAGAUAUGACAAUGUAUUUAGUGUUACUCUUUUCUGUUUCAUGUUUUACCUGUAUUACGCGAUGUUUACACUUCUAUUUGGACUUGUUGCGCAUAUACUUUUCCAUGAAAUCUUCAGCAAGUUGGUUCUGUUUUGAUUCGCGGAAUAGUUUUCCUCUCUUAUUCUUGGACUUACUGGUAUAACAGUUGAGUAAAGUUAGUACUAGACUAAUCUAACACCAAAAAAACAUACAUCUGAGUUCUGUUUCAUUUUUUUCGUGUAGUACUACUCACUUGGAACUUCUCGAAGAUCCUGGUUUAUCCCUCAAAUUCAUAGCUGCCAAAUGGCGUGCCAAGUUGUCAUCCCGGUUACUGUGAGCUGAGGUUGUUGUUGAGACAACAUUUCCUUCAAUUACCCAAGACAUAGGAAAUACAAAGUUUCUGCAGAAAAAUGAAGACUUGUGAGUAAAACAUGUUCGUGGAGUACUAAUUCGAUUAUCCUAAAAUGUACUUGUAAGAAUUGACAGAAAUGUAGACCAGAGAAACAAUACAAGACAUUUUGUACCGUUCCACGCGUUUGUAUCUGCAUCGAUUCAUCAUAUCAACGGUAUAUUGACCAAAAUGGGUGUCAAGAUUCUUAGCAAACUUUGGUAUAUGACAUCCUGGUAAAAUGUCCCAUAUCUUUAGUACUUGAAGGUAUGUAGAGUUCUGCUGCUGAAUAUCUACGGUCCAAAUCAAUUUUAGGUGCUUGACAAAAUACUCCUCCAACAAUCCAGAAGAAUUUCCGCCUUUGUUGCUGAACAUGUUUUUCUUUUCUGCCUUACGCCAACCACUCGAAAGCUUCACCAAAAGGGAAAUCACUUCUUUACUUAUCUCAACAUCCUUAAUUCUGGCAAUGGAUUUUGAGAAAUCCUCACUAAAUAUAACCUGUUGAGUUAAAACAGCAAAAAACUCGUAAUUUCUCCGUUCGCGAAUAGAACUCAAAUAUUCAUAUUAUAGGCUAAAUGAAGCAACAUACCUUCCAUUUGGCUGAUUGAAAUAUCAGUGAAUCUGUUUUGAGUAAUGUUUCUAGCUGGCUAAGUUCAAUGGUCGCGUCCAAAAUUGCUUGACUCAAUCGCUUGUCUUCAGUAACAUCAAAGUAACAACCGCGAACCUUGGCGUCAACAACCAAAUUCUUCCAUAUGGAACCACUGUUAACCAAAGUUGUACCAUUUCCCAAUAUCCAAAGGCAAUACCUACAUAAGAAUCAAAGUUGACAGUUAAGAAUAUCAAAAACCAUCUGUUAUGUGUAAUGUUGUUCACCAAAUUAGAACCUUGCUCGAGUCAAUGCUACAUUUGCCCUUUGAAGAUUCGAGAGGAAACCAACCGAUCCACUCCCAUUACAACGAACAGUGGAUAUAAUUAUCACAUCCUCUUCACCACCUUGAAAACCAUCAACAGAACGUACAUUCACAGAGAAGUCACUCUUAACAUCUGUGCUAUAUUUGUUGCCAAGAAUUUGUUGAAUAGCAAAAACUUGAGCCUUGUAAGGAGAUAUACAUCCAACACGGACCUUUUGUUUCGAAGAGAUAUAUUCUGUAGGUAAGAUAAUAUUUAUUAGGUAUGCCAACACGUUUCAUUCAUCUUACGCAGAAAUUAAAUCCUUGAAAGAUAAGUGCAUUACCUUUAUGAAGGUUGGCAACUAUCUCAGCUACAACAAAAGCUUCUGUCUUAUUUCUUGAGCUGUGCUUGUCAUCGUGCUCCUCAUUUCCACCACUUACAUUUAUAAACGAAUAGGAACCAAAAAUAUCUCCAGUAAGAAAUCUCUUUUCAUAUGCAGCUGAUUUCACAUUAGGACCAUCCAUGAUUUUCUUCUGAUAGAACUCUCUAUUAGGGAGCAAACUUAUCUUCGGAUGCAUCCUGUAUUGAACAUUAAGAAGAAGCUUCUUGUGUCCCAAAGUUACCAGCCUCUCAAAUAAGCUCCUCCCAAACUCAGCCUUCUCGCAAAUCUGUAUAUAACAGAUACUAGCUGUCAAUGACAAAAGAGCAGCACAGUAAAUUUUAAAAAAAAAAGUCAUAAAGAGAUUAACUAAUAACCUUGCUCUGAACCAUAGCAGGCAGUUGUUUUUCAUCACCAAUGAGUAUAGCAUGGCGGAGACCAGGGAGUAGUAACGGAAUAGUGGAUUCACAUUCUUUCAGCUGAGCAGCUUCAUCAAUAACAACCAUCUCGAGUGGUGUCAUUCCUUCUGUGUGCAACUUUAUCGAGCUAGAAGCUGUGCAGAAAAUCAAACAUGCACCUUUCAGACAAAAACUUCGAAUCUGGUAGUCCUCAAUGAAAUCGGGAAGAGAGAUGCUUUCGUUAAGAAAUUUCAACACUUUUAGGCAUUCUGUUUUAGUUGUACGAAUAUUUAAACGUCUUGUCUUAUUCUUUGUAGCAAAUCCCGGUAGAAUUUCUUUUAAUCCUUCAGAUUGUUCCACAGUAGCAAACAAUUCUCCAAGAGUUUGAAACAUCUCAAGUAGUCUGAUCAUCUCCUUAGCUACUUCUAGUGAAAUGAUAGAAGUAGGUAGAUGCGUAUACAAGCUCGUUAAGCAAAAUGUUAACUGAUUCUGUAUACAUUUGAAUCUUUUGUUCACAAACUCAUCAAGUGUCAACACGAUUACUUCUUUGUUGCUCGCCUCCCCAUUGUUCUUGACCUUGUUUGCUUUUUCACCUUCUUUCGAGUUGUUAUCCCUUCGAGACUUUUGUUUAUCUUUCUUCUUGUUCUCUUUUAAGGUCUCAACAACAAAUUUCUUCCACAACUCACUCUUCUUGUUCUUGUUGAGUCCUUGAUCAUUGCUCGAACUAGAUUCUUGACUAGUAACACUUCCUUUUUUUCCCUCUUCCUCAUCAUCUAUCUCCGCAUUAUCAUCACCGUCACGGUCCUUGUCCUUUAGUUUCUCUAAGUACUUGCGAUAUUCCUUUUCAGGAUUCUCGAGCAAACAUGUCAUGGACUGUAUACCAAUUCUCCACCCACUAAUCGGAGACGAGCAGCUAGCAAGUGCAGCAACACGGUUACUAAGAAAGACAUCAAACAGAUCUUCAUGAUCAUCAAUCUUCAUUCGUUCCCCAUUACCAAACAAGACAAUAUCUCCUAAACCAUACGUGUCGUAUUGGAAACAACUCUGUACAUUCUGCAUCAGCUUCUUAGUCACUCCCAACACAGCAACAUUCGUGGGCGCACAAGUCAAAGUCCUGCACCUCAUUUCUAACAGGACAUAAAGUAAAGAAGCAACUGUUUUUGUCUUUCCAGUUCCCGGAGGACCCCAAAUUAACUUAACCAUAUUCCGGUGAGAACAUUCUCUUGUAGCAACACAACUUACAACAGCUUCUUGUUGAGCACUAUCUAGCUCAAAGGACUGAGCGAUGGCUCUUGAACUCGAUAUAGCUAUAUUAGUUUCUGCUUCUCUAACGGAACAAAGGGAGCAGUCUACUUGAUCACCCUACAAACGAAAUGUUUAUUAGAUGCUAGACUAAUGAUACAAUUUCAACGUAUGAUCACUAUAACAGUAAAGUUGAAAAAAAGUACUUACAAUAUCCGAAUCAUCACUUCUCAUCACGGUCUUAAUGAUAUUAAAGUUUGAAUUUUCCCGGUCUGAGUGCAAUGCAUUCCAUAUUCGAAUGUUUGUUGUCAAAUUAGAAAGAUAGACAACAAAAAGCUUGUCCCCUUGUUCACCUGUUUCCCUAUCCGGUUUCUUAAACGGAAUAAGCUGUGAAGACAAGAUAGGUAUUCUAUAACCAUCAUCAUUCAUACCUUGAACUAUAGCAAUGAGGUAUGAUCUCUUAGGCCUGUUUAAAUCCUCCAUUCUUCGUGGUCUCACAUCUGUUAGUGCAAUCAAAUCACCAACUUCUGGUUCAUAUUUCGAUUCAUGCUUUGAUUCAUUACUCUCUCCCACCUCUCUAUUUUGAUUUCUUCUCAACAAAAUAUUGUAAUAUAAACCUUUCGGAGGGUUAAAAUCUUUCGAUACUUUCACAUCAACAACCUCAAGAGCAGGUGCCCGCGAAACAGCAGACACAUUAGAGAGCAAAUCAGCAUGUGUUUCUUCAAGAAGUGGAGUAACGUAUGACUUCAAAUAAUGAUCAAUCGACACAAACGUCUCUGGAAUUUCUUUCACCUAACAUAUCGAAACAGAACAAAUUACAAUAAAUUUGACACAAAAGUUCAAAAACUAAAAUUAUAGUACAAUUCAUGAUACUACAUUUGACAUGAAUUGCUAAUAACAACUUGUAACGUUGCUCAGACUCUCCAAAAAUGUUUUUUGACCCAUGUCGGAUCAUCCAGACACACACUAUUUUUAGAGGAUCCGAUAUCCAGCUAACAACAUUUUUAAUGAGCCGGAGAAACUUAUCUUUCAACCAACUAAACACAUUGAUUUUGACUCAAACAAAAUAAAAUGUGUUCAUAUAUAACAUACUAUUGUUAGGCUCAGAUUCUUCAAAAAUGUUAUCGUACCUAUGUCAGGUCCUCUAAAAACACAUUGUACUAUUUAAAAAAUCAAACAAAAGCUCAUCAAAAUUUUCGAAAAGUCCGAGCAACAUAAACAACAAAAAAAGAAAGAUGAAUUCAAACCUUGUCUUUGUAAAGAUCUUUGUUCAACACAUCCUUUAAAGACCAAGAAAACACCAAAUCCACUAAUCCAGGAAUUGUUUUCUCUGUUUUCUUCUUUGUAGUAGUAGCCAUUUUCCCCUAAUAUUAAUCAAAAUUAUACAAAAAAAAAAUUAAAAAAAAAUCAACAACAUGUACAUCAUGAUCAUCAACAUGCAAUAACAAAUAAAUUUUUAAAAUAAAAAAUAAAAAAAAUUUACCUUUAUAUUUAUGAUCUUGUAGCUACUAAUAUAACUUUAUAUUAUAUUGAAGCAACAAAAUAUUCUCUACUGCUGCAUUCAACAAAAAUGAUGAAAGUAUAGUAAAAAAUAAAUGUCGAAAAUGACAAGUAACUUUAAUUUAGAAGAAUAAUUUAUUCCGUACAAUCAUAGGAUAAAAAAGGAGAAAAAGUGUGGAAUAAAGAUUAUAAAGAUCUUCAAUAAGGUGGACUAAUAGUCAACAAAUAAAAUAGAUGAAAAAAACAGAGAAGUUACAAGGAAAACUUAUAAUAUAUAGUUUUUUUUUCGUUUUCUUUUGUUUGCUAAAACUUAAAAAGAAAGUUAUAUAUUUAUAUUAAUAAUAUUACAUGUUGAUGUCAAUAUUAGUGUUUUUAUAUACUGUACCAAAAGUGACAAAGAUUCCAAAGGCUAAAAGGAAGAAAGAGGAAGAUGAUGAGAAGUUACAAGGAAGACUUAGAAUCGAAGUCUUAAAUUAUAUAUAAAAGGGUGAAUAGUAAUUCGUACUCCGUUCAUUUUUAUUUGUUCAGUAAUAAUAUAUCAUACCCUCUAAAGAGCAAUAAAUAUAAUCAAUAGUGAAAUAAAAAGUUUCACUAAAAAUAUUCAAGAUUUAACAUAUACACAUGGAAAAAAAAAGAGAGGCAAUUUUCACAUAUAGCAAUCGAAAAAAUCAUAUUUGUAUGUUAUAGCAAACUUUGCAUAAUUGCGCUCCAUAGUAAACAUAAAACUGUAUAAUUCUAUAUUCAUAUACAAUUGUAUAAUUCGUUGGCCUAAAUUGUAUAAUUCGCUGACUUAUUUCGCUGCAAUUGUAUAAUUCGCUAUACUAUUUCACUCCGAUUGUAUAAUGCACAAUUGUAUAAUUCGCUGCCUAUUUCGCUGCAAUAUUUUUAAAAAAUUUGCUUUGCAUUCAAUUGAAUCGAAUUAAAAUGUAUGUAUGUUGCAUAAUUAUAAGUGUGUAGCAAGAAGAUAUAUGUUUUUCUCUCGCUUUAUACAAAUAAAGAAACACAAUAUAUACACUUCUGUUGUAUAAAGCAAGAGAAAAUUGUAUUUCACUGCAAUUGUAUAAUUCGUUGGCCUUUUUCUCUGCAAUAUCUAAAGUAAAAUGUUUGUAAAUUGUAUAAUUAUAUGUAUAACACGAAGAUAUAUAUUUUUGCAUGUGUAUAUACAAUUUUCUCUCGCUUUAUACAACACAGAAACAUAAUUUAUACACUUCUGUGUAUAAAGCGAGAGAGGCGAGCGAGAAUGAAGAGUGGCGAGCGAGAUUUUUGGGAGAGAGACGUCUGGAAAACUUUAGCUAACGCUUGCUAUGAAGCACAAUUAAAUCAAACUUAGCUAUUUCAUUUAUUUUAGGUUAUUAGUU
rnacentral:lncRNA from 1 species